AAAACUUCAACCAUAAUAUGAUACUAAAGGAUUUACAAUUACAAAAGUCUUCACGUUAACUCCCUAAGAUCCCUCGUUCGUUCCCCUACCACCAACUCCUGUAAGGAAAACAAAGCUGAGGGGAUGAGCUUACGCCCAGUGAGGUUUCCAUGCAAGCAAUGAUCAAUAAACACUUAAACCAGAUAAGCCAGUAACAAAAUUAAGCAACUAAGGAACACUUCACUGAAUAAAGUAGAGAACACUUCAUUGAACAAUCACUUUGAAAAGGAUACGAUGCUCGCAUUAGAGCCACUUCCUUCUGGGAGUCAGUUCAAUAUCAUUGCACACUCAUUUCAAUGUCAUUGUUCAUUUAUUUCAGUGUCUCAUUUCAAUAUCAUUGCACACUUCGCCAAUUCACCUCCUUAUGUCCUCCAAAACAAUAAACAAUCUCCUACAUUCAAUGAUUAGUUCAAUAAUCUCCCAACUUCAAGGUAAUACUUGAGUAUAUCGAAACAUUUACCCAAAGCUUCCGUCCUAUCCGACCAAGCCCUUUGCUGGCUCGAAUAGUGUGACAGCCCCACCUCCCCCUAAGGCGAACUAGAGGGUUCGGCAGACCGCCUGCCCAACUCUCGCCGGGACUCAGUCGUUCACUACGGUCCUCAAUUAAAUUACAAUAUAAAUCUCAAAUAUACAUCAAAUUCUCCAAUAAUUACAUGUCAUAAGCGAAGCGGAAACAAUUCCCAACUAUACAUUGUGAGAACCCGUAAAUUUUCUCAUUUUCUAGGUUUUAUUCUAUUUAAUGGCAUGUUUUUCUGCAUUUUCUUUAUUAGGAAAAUUUUUCGGAUAAUUUUUAUGAGUAAAUAUAAUUUUUAGAUGAUUUUUCUAGUAUCGGUUAGUUUUUGAGAAAUUAAGAACGGAUAUCGGACGUGGGACCCGCUAGUGCGGAAAGUUCGGUAAAAUUCGGUCAAUUGGGUUAAGUUUUGUAUACAGGAUUUAAUUUACUAGGUGCGAAGAGAUAAGUAGAGGAUACCAUAUGGAUGAGAGUUGAGGAAACAAAGGGAUAUGCAUGCAUUAAAUAGGGUGACAAGUGUCACCAUAUGAUUAAAUCUUGCAUUUUUUACCACUAUUCAUUACUUUACCAAAUCAAUACCAAAAUUCACCAAAAAUUCACCAUUUUCUUCCUCUUCUUGGCCGGCUCUCUCCAAGCAAAAAAGAAAAGAAAACUCUCUACCAUCUUACCUCUAAUCUUGCCCAAUCUCUCAAUUAAACCAUUUAAUCUUCAAAUUUCUCCAUAAAACCUCUUAGAUUAGUGAAGUUAAGCUUGGUUGUGGAGUGGUUUGAAGGAUUAAGAUGCAAAGUUGCUCCUUUUCUUGGGUUGUUAAGGUAAGUAACUAAGGGACCUCUCUUUCUUCUCAAUAAUGUUUAAUUAGCGACUUAUAUGAGAUGAAGUGGUGAUAUUAGGUGUUGUUUCAUGAUUUUUGGUAGAAAUUGGUGAAGUUUUAUAUUUAUUCAUGAUUUUUCUGUUUUCAUAUGAUUAAUAUUGUGUGGUCAUAGAUGAUGGUUGGGAAUGGUUUAGAAUGAAGCCUUAGUGUGUAAAUUGUAGCUAUUUGCGGAAAAUUUCCGCAUUGAACGGAAAAAUUCGGAAUUAGGGUUGCAAUUGAACCCAUUCUGCCUGGUACUGUUACACUUAGUUAUAGGCCGAAUUAGCCUUGGAUUAAAACAUGAAAGUUGUAGGGAAUGAUAUUUUAUAGUUUUCUACAAAAUUUCAGGCUAAUCGGAGCAACGUAGCCUGUGAAAAGACUGAAAUACCCCUGCUGCCCUGUUUCUGUCCGAACUUGGUAAUCAGCUUUGGUAAUUGGUUAAUUUGAUUGAGAAUACUACUGAUUUGGUUGUUAAGGUCUUCUUAAGAAAUAUAGCCUGGUAUCUUAGCUUUUGGAUGGCUUUGAAAUCACUUGAAUUGGACUUUGGUAGUCUGAAUUGUGAUUAUCUAACCAGAAUGCGGUUCGUUAACCUAUUUAUGCGGUUCUGGUUUAGUACAUUGAACUUUUGACUUAGUUUCACUACAAACUGGACUGAGUGACAUUCUUCAACAUUGUAGCCCUUUCUGUUAGCUUCAAAACGGUGUAUAUUAUACAUCCAUCCGAUAAUCGUAGAGCCGGUUGUGGCCAAUACGCUUAAUGACGGCAAAACUGUUUUUAGGUCUUAGAGCUUAACUUUCAUUUCCGGACUUUCCUUAGCUUACUUUAGUACUUAUACGUGCUAAUGAAGCCUUAUUUUCGGUAGUAUGUGGAAAUUGGUUUAUAACUUGUAAUCGAGUCUUAUUGUGCCUAUUGGAAUAUUUUAGGGCGUGACGGUGAUUAAAGACGCUCAUGGGGCGGAAGUUUAUAAAAUUUCACUUGCUUACUUGGUGAGUAUACUACUCACAUGUUUGUUUACAAUGUGGCUUUGUUAUAUUUGAACUUGAUGCCUUGAAGGCUUAUUUGCACCGGUGAAACUGAUUAAAGUGAGGGUGUACUUGAUCGCCCUCACCCAUUUUGUAUUAUAUAUGACUGUUAACUGUGGUGCUUGAAUAGUACAUGAAAUACGGGAUUUGGUGUCGUAUGGACGAGUAUCCAACGGCCAUUACUGUUACUACUAAGCUCAACCCCAUUGGUAGUCGAUUGGAUCGAGCCGGCGAGGGCUUGGUCGUGAAAAUUGACGAGCCAUGGGACUGUUAUAUGGAAUCUUGUAGUAUGAGACUCUCGAUUCCGGUAUACUCUAGUAUUACCAAAUUUAUACUGUUUGGAGUUCGGGCCCGGUAGGGGUAUGUUGGGUGGAAGGAAUGGAAGUAAAGUGGAGCCUACGGUUGGUUACUUUGUAAACAUUGACGGAGGGUCAAUGAAAUCCGAUCAAGUAUACAAGCGAGGAAAGGGGCUCUUGAGAGCCGUCCGUAUCCUUUUAACCAUGUUGUGAAUGUGUGAUCUUGGUUUACUUCAUUAUUGAACGUUUUAUGCUUAUAUGAACUUGGUUGCUUGAGUGAUAGUAUUUCACUGGGCGUAAGCUCACUCUAUUCCUUUUGUUUUCCUUACAGGAAUAUAAACACUUUUGGAAUGGCUUUUGAUAGUUGGUUGCCGAGUUGAGCUUGUUGUAACUAUCUUUUGAAUAGCUCCUUUUGGGCAAAAUCCUAAGUGCAUUUUGAUCCAACCAAGUCGUUGAGUUGUAAUUUGCAAACCGUACAUGUACAAAUUUGUUGGAUAACUUUUGUAUGCUACUUUGGAUUGUAAAUGCUUAAUUUCAAGGUGUAUAUGUUUGAUGGAUGUUUGGUGAGAUUUCGGCCGGAUUCUGACGCGUCAGUUACUAUCCAUGUCGGCUCCAAUUUUCAUUUUUUUUAUUUUAUGAUUUUGACUUGUUAAAGCGCACUUGUAUGUUCCGGAACGUUUAGACCGUAUUGAACUGUCCCGUUAGUCCUGGCGAGAGUUGAGCAGGCAAUCCGCUAACCCCUUUGGUUCGCCUUAGGGGAAGGUGGGGCUGUCACAGGUGGUAUCAGAGCCUAGGUUUUGAAUUGGCCUGGGCGUGUUAGAAAGGCUCGACUUGAGGAUUAUUUUGAUUAUGUUCCUUAAGGUUAUUUUCAUUUAUUUACUCUUUUGGUGUAGGAUGGACGGACGUGGUGAGCCUAGUGAUAGCCCUCCUGGUGAGCGACCCCGUGAAGUGCUCCCAGUGAUCCCAUACCAGAUACGGCCAAGAGGGGCCGUCGGGCGUUGGAACCCGGCUAACCGUCUCUGACGGUGUGAGUGUCGCCACACCUACGCCUACCCUAACACCUUAGUGUUGGCCAUGGCCGAGGAACGGAAGGAGCUGGCCAAAGAUAAUGCUAGGCUCGAGGCCGAGGUGAAUCAGUUCAGGGCGGCCAACGAGAAACAAGCCAAGCGAAUUAAGGAUCUAGAGUACGAUGUGUUCGAGUGUGAGGAUAGAGUGGACGACCUCUGCGCUCAACUUAGGGAGGCACAUGAGCGUGAGACUAAGCGAGCUCGGAAGGUUAGGGUUCGAGCCGCGUCGAUCCUGAACCUCUGCGCCGACGUGCUCGAGGAGGUGAGUGACGAGGCGUCGUGCACAGGGGCCGGGGCAGGAGGUGAAUCCACCCCGUCGGGUGGGUCCACUAGCCCGACGACGGAUUAGGUUGUGACUCCUAGGAUCUUUUGGGAUAGUUUUGUUUUUGUAUGUAGGACGGAUGGAGAAAAGAGCCUUAGCUAGCCGUUUUGUACGUUGGAUUAGCUACGUGUAUAUUAUUUUUGAUAAGGCCAUUCCCUGGUGGAUUGUCUAUGUUUAUACUUGACUUGACUGUAUUUGAUUUGACUGUACUUGGCUUGACUGGUUGUUGAUAUGUGUGUUGUUUGAUUUUGUUUGGAAUGUAUAUAGAUGUGUUUGUAAAAGCUUUUGGGAUUUUGCUUACAUGCCUUGUUAUUUUAUUGUUUUAGUACGUUUGCCUAGAUCAUAUAGAUUUCAUGGAAGACACGCGUAGUGGACGGGGACGUGGGCGCCGGAGUAGGUAACCUACGUCGGACCAGGGUGCUGGGGAAACCUCAUCGGGACCUAACCCUGAACCGAGGGCUGACCCCAAUGUGCAAAUAGCUGCCGCUAUGCAGCAAAUGACCAAUCUGCUGGCACAAGUGGUGCAGCAACAAGGCCAAAACCCAAACCCUAAUCCUGGAAACUCGGGCAACCACGUCGAAAGCGACGAUAGGGCCCUUGAGAGGUUCCAGAAGUUCGCCCCACCGAAGUUUAUUGGGGGGCCCGACCCGGAUGUCGCCGAAAGGUGGCUUAAGAAAAUGGUAGAGAUUUUCACUGCCCUGCACUAUACCGAGAAACGGCAGGUGACUUUUGCCGUUUUUCAGCUGGAAGGAGCGGCCCGUUCCUAGUGGAACGUUAUUCGGCAAAAAUGGGAAUGGGAACAAACACACAGGACUUGGAUAAAACUUUAUGCGGGAGUUCAACGUGAAAUUCUUUCCCCCUCUAGUUCAGGAGAGGAAGGAAAACGAGUUUAUCCGAUUUCGUCAAGGGGCCCAGUCGGUAGCGGAGUACGAGAGCCAGUUCACCCGCCUCUCCAAAUUUGCUCCUGAGCUGAUCAUAACCGAGCAACGACGGAUAAGGCGUUUUAUCCAGGGCCUGAACGUCGAAAUUCAAAAGGAUCUCGCGGUGGCCCAGAUUAACGUUUUUAGCGAGGCCGUGGAGAAGGCUCAACGGGUAGAGAGCGCUAGGGUACAAGUCUGAACUUCCAGGCAAAGAAGCGCGGCUUUCCUGGAUGCAGUUCGGGGCAAGGGGAUAAAGGUACCCCCUCCAAGUUCGGACGGGGAGCUGGAGGUGGACGACAGACGAGGCUCGGCAGAGGGGCUCAGUCCAGGGGUGGCCCAACUGGGAGAGGCCAAGGCGGAAACUUCCAGAAGGGUUCAAGUUCGGCGUCCCGUGGGCCUUGUGGGUACUGCGGAAAGCCGAACCACUCCGAGGAUAAUUGCUGGAAGAAAGAAGGGAAAUGUCUGCGCUGCGGAAGUGCAGACCACCGGCUUGCCACCUGCCCAGUCCUAAAGCAAGACGGAAAGGGAGCCCAACCAGCACCAAAGACCAAUGUGGGACCAACUAAGGGAGAUGGGACGAAACCUAAGGUCGCGGCUCGCGUGUAAUCGUUAGAGCCCCAGCAGGUCCCAGAUUCCUCUGAGGUCGUAGAAGGUACGAUCCCUGUAUUCCACCGCUUUACCAAAGUUUUAGUAGAUCCUGGUGCCACCCAUUCCUUUGUUAAUCCUGAUUUUAUGUGUGGCAUUGACAUAAAACCUGCUAGUUUACCUUACGACCUAGAAAUUAGUACGCCUACGGGGGAUCAUCGUUUGGUUACUAGUCUGGUUUAUAGGGAUUACGAGGUUUGGGUAGGAGAGAGGAGGUUGUUAGGGGACUUGAUUAGCCUGUCCUUCAAGGGGUAUGAUGUGAUUCUGGGCAUGGACUGGUUAGCCAGGUAUAAUGCCCAAUUGGACUGUAAAAAGAAGGUGGUGGGGUUCCGCAUUCCUGGAGAGGCGACCUUAAGGGUAGAUAUAAGGGGAAGGUUAGCCUCAUCUGCCCUAAUCUCGGGCAUUCGGGUUAGGAAACUCGUGACAGCCCCACCUUCCCCUAAGGCGAACCAAAGGAGUUAGCGAAUUGCCUGCUCAGGUUUGUAGUGGCCGAUGCCUUAAGUCGCAAGGCUCAGGUAGCAGGGUUAAUGAUUAAAGAGUGAGAUUUGCUAGAAUCGGUUUGCGAGUGGAAACCCUACCUAGAGAGCCAUAAAGUGAUUUUUGGUAACAUUAGGGUGACAUCCACCCUAUUAGAGCGGAUUAAAGGAGGUCAAAAAAAGGAUGCUAUGGUGCGAAAAUGGGGAGAGAAGGUGGAAAAUGGGGAAACGACUGAUUUCAACUUCAGUCCUGAAGGUAUUUUAAGAUACCGAAACCGAGUGGUGGUGCCUAAAGAUGAAAUGUUGAAGACGGAGAUCUUAGAGGAGGCUCAUCGGUCCAAGUACACGAUCCAUCCGGGUAGUAGCAAGAUGUAUCAAGAUCUAAAAGGAGCCUAUUGGUGGGAUAAUAUGAAGAAGGAAAUCGCUCUGUACGUGCAGAAAUGUCUUAUUUGCCAAUAGGCUAAGACAGAGUGUCGCGCCCCACUUUUUGAUGUGGUGUGAAAGUAGUGUGUAUGUGAAUGUAUGUGAAAAUAAAAGGCCGUGGGACUUGAAAAUGCGACGGUUUGGCCAAUCAAAGUUCAAAAGGGGUUUUGAAUGAAAAAUGGAGUCGCCACUUGGUAUAGAGUUAGGGUGUACCAAGUCACCCAAAAAGUGAUUUUUGGAAAGUAAACAAACCCCUUUUUGAUAACUUUUAGGUCUACGUAACCAAAGAAAGGGAUCGAGGGUCACAUUUGAUAAGGGAGAAGGCAAAGGCAAAGCCUAAGGCACUCCCUUACCCUAGCAAGAGCUAGUUGCGUGAUUUAGCCCCUCUUUUCCUAAUUUUUCUACCCAAAAUAUGCGUUGCACGUUAGAUAUGACUAAUGGGUAUGAAAAGAAAUGCAAUCCUAAAUCUAAAAUGUCUCUUACGAGGCUUUUGGUCCCAACCACAUGAGUUGUGGUGGCCAAUAAGGAAAAUCCUCAUAGAGGUCGCGAAUGAUGCAAAUGAAGACUCAAAUAUGAGUGCAAGUGUGAAAAUGUAAGGCAACGUGCAUGUGUGCAAAUGUAAGACAAGUGCACGUGUGCGAUUUGAGAAAAUAAAAGUGUUUGUGUGCUAGUGGAUGAAAAUAAGAUAUAAUAGUAGUAAAUGCAUAUAAAUGCAAUCGGGUGCAAUUUGUGAGGUAGAAAAACAAGUGAUAAGAAGAAAGACGUGUGAACAUGACAUUUGUAUUGAAAAAGAUAUAAGUAGUGAGAAAACGUGAAUAAAGAAGGUGAGGGAGUGACAUGAUGAGAAUGAAAGUGCAUGAACCUAGAGGAAUGCAUCAAGUCGGGUACGGGAAUGACUCCUAAUUUCACGACUUUAAUUUUCCCUUUGAUUAGAAGGAAGAACUAGCGUGCUAAGGCUAUUUUGUAGCCACACUCGCUCGUUUCCCUUAUCGAAAGGGGACUCUCAAGCAAAUGUACCCUAUAACUAGCAUGAUGAUGCAAAAAGCCUAGAAUGAAAGGGAAAGGGAUUGGAGGGGCAUGCCAAGUGCUAAAAAAAAGACUAAGAAAAAUGCAUGAAAUGUAGUGAAACAUGCAAGUAUGAGCUAGCGAGGGAAGCCCCUAAGGGUCUAGCGUUGGACUAGCCCCUAUUUAUGAAUUCCUACUAGCGUUGGACUAGUGGAAAACGGGACAAUGAGACACAACUAGCGUUGAACUAGUGUGGUGACGUAUAUUCAUCCAUCACAUUCAUCCAUGAUUAUAGAAAGCAAGUAGACAUGUCAAUCACCUAUAAACACGUAGCACAUAACACUUAGCAUGCUCGACUAAAUGCAAGAGUCUAAUAAAGCAAAUUGACACGUAGCAACAAAAACAAGCAAUCAACCUAAUGAACCUAUCACAUUUGCUAACUAAAACAAAAGGGGAAGGGGAAAAUGGACAGAAAUGCUCUCCAAGCCCUAUCUAUUACAAGCCAAGAGGUGUACACAUACCCCAUAAAUAAAUAAAAGAGUGACUUAACGAAAAAAAGCAAAAGUAAAUGAAACAAGUGGAAGGCAUUAAGGAAAAGCAAGGAAAGCAAAGUAGACAUGCAAUUUUCACUUAGCACGUUGAAUCACAUAGGGUCAAAUAAGGUCAAAAUAAGGGAUAGAGUGUACCUCCCUUGAUUUGGAGCCCUAAUGGAGUGAAAUCACUUAUUUAUCCUCCAAAAUAAAAGAAAGGGUCAAGGUACCAAUUUAUUUGGCAAAUAAUCACAAAGGAUAAAAAUAAACAUGAAUUUGAAUCAGUUAAACCAUGUAAACAACCCACAUUUAAGAAGUUAAAAGAAGAAAGGACUUGAUUGCAAAGAUUGACAAAAUUUUGGGGCCAAAAUUAAAGAAAAAUAAAGUUCAAGGACUCAUUUGCAAUUAAAGUAAGGACCCAAUUGAAUGAAAUUGAAAGUUUGUAGGGCCAUAGUGAAAAUAUCCGAAAGUUAGGGGACUGGAAUGAAAUUUCGUCAUCAUGCUUCUUGACUUAACAGGCCAUUGGGCCCUUUUCUUUAUUUGUUUGGGCUCAAACUUCCCUAGCCCAACCGAAAAUCCAAAGCAAAUGGGAUGGGCCAGCCUAUCCUUUUUAUCAAGUAAAACCCAACGACAUGAAUGGGCUUUUAACCCCCCCCCCCAAAUCCAACUACAAGCCCAGGAAACAAACAAAACAAAUCCCGACAAUUCGCAUUAAAAUUUAAAAGAGCCAAAUCAAUUCGAUUUUUAUAUAUUUUAGGCCACUGGGAAAUUAAACAAAUUUUGAGGGGUUAAAUUGCAAUUUCCAGAUUUGUUCAUGCAUGCUCUGCGCAGAAGGCUUUCCUUCACAGAAACUCUUCUUCAUCACUGAUUUCUAUGAUUUUUGCAGCAUAUACAAUCGAAGCAACUUAGGCCAUCUCAAACCAAAUCAUCAAAUUCAUUAACCCAUUCCCUUAAGCUCUAAAACUCGACAUAACAAGCAAGAUACAAACCCUUGAAGGUCGAUCAAAGAACCAAAAAUAAUGGAAGAGCAUGCAAUCAGAACAUUUUCUGCAACAAUACUUCUUAUGAAAUUCAUGCCAGGCGCAAACAAUGUCCAAACAUUCAAACCAAAAAAAAAAAACCUUACAGCUCUAAUCAUUGAAAUUUAACCAAGAUUGCAAGCUACAGAGACUCAUCGAAAGGAUGCGAAAACAAGAACGAAAGCAGCAAAAUUCUGGCAAUUUGAACAAAUAAUCAUCCUUUCCAAACAAUCUGAAUGUCAGUUUCCAUUUCAGCUUUCUUUCACGGACAAAAGCAACAAGAUUUUCAACUCUGACCAUUUCCAAAACAAAACAUCUAGCACGAAUUCAUACAAAGAAACUCGACCAUUCCCAAUUCCAAAUGGAACUCAAAUUCCUACCAUGGAACGGAUAACAAAUAGAACAGAAAUGAAGGCAUUAAUUAUUGCUGCGUUAAUUCAAAGUUUUCUAUCAGGCACUUCUUCAAACAUCAAAUGGGCAUCAAGAACAUCAUCGAUUCUUAGCUCAAUUGGGGUCAAAAUCAACUCCAAAAUUAUCAGCAGACUCAGGAAAUUCAGUCUUCUAACCACCACAUAAGGCACACACUUCGGAUUCGCAAAUAACCCGUCGGAAAAAUAGCCAUGAGCCAAGUCACGAAAAACAUGUUUCAAGAGCUUAAAAACUGAAACUUAAAGAGAAAGCUUACACUGUUCUCAGCUUCUGAAGUUGAAUGGGACCUGGAUGGUGGCGGCGCUGGCGGUGGUCGACGGACAGCAUCAGCAGCAUCGUGGGGUGCUCAGUUGCCCUGGUCUUGAUCAUCAGAAAUGGAAUUCGAGUCUGCUGUUCUUGGCCCAAGCUCUUUCGAUUAUGUCUUCAGCCGCCCACUUGGAUUCUCCCCUUCGUUUCUCUUCGGCUGGCUCUCGCUCUUUCCUUUCUAAUCGCCGCACCUCCCUCUUUCAUUCGUCGUUCCCCAGAUUUUUUUAUCCGCCCCUUUUCGAUUUCCCUUCAUUUGCCCAGUUUUUUUUUCCUUUUUCAGUCCGUCCGCCUCUGUUUUUCUGGUUCCUCAUUUUACACCCUCUAUCCCUCAGCCACCAUUCCUCUUUUCCUCUGUUUUUCUCAAGCUCUCCGACCUCCCUUUUUCCGAAGCCGAAGCCCCUCUGUCCGCCACCAGCUUUUCGUCCCCUCUAUUUUUUACUCAGCCCGUCGCCUGGUUCCUCUGUUUUGAUCAGCCCCCUCUCCUUGUUUUUUCUUUUUUCUCUUUCUUUUUUUGUUCGCUGAAGCCUUUCUCCUCUCAUUUUUUUUUUGCCCGAUCUCAUCCGCGGCCUUUUUCUUCCUCUGUUUUUGUUCUGUUUUUUUUCUUUUCAGCUCUUAGCCCAGCCGAAGCCUUCUCUUCCAUUUUCCAGUUUUUCUUCUUCUCGUUCUAUUUCCCAACUCCAAAGCCCCCUCUGUUUUCCCUUUUGAGAUUUUCAGCCCCCUCCAACCGAGAGCCUUUCGGAUUUUUUUUAGCCUUUCGUACCUCCCCCCCUUUGGCUUGCGGCUCCUUUCAUUUUAAAGGCACCCCAAAGAAACUAAACCUAAGAUGAAAGGCCAAGAUCUCAUCCUCCAAAUAGUUCCAUGUAUCUUUUAAUUGACUUUUCUUUUUGCAGCAUGACUUGACUUUUUCUCUUUUUUUUUUCAAUCUUAUGCUAAAAAAAUAACAAAAAUAAUAAAUAUCGAUAAAGAUUAAAAAAUUAAAAAAUUAAAAAAUUAAAUUAAAAAAAUAAAGCCAAAUUUUGGUGUCUACACAGAGUAUCAAAAACCAUCAGGUUUACUACAACCCCUUGAGAUACCCGAAUGGAAGUGGGAGAACAUCACCAUGGACUUCGUUUUAGGGUUGCCAAAGACGCAAAGAGGGCACGAUGCCGUUUGGGUGAUCGUUGAUCGAUUAACCAAGUCGGCCCAUUUCUUGCCUGUAAACAUGAAGUAUUCUAUGGACAAAUUGGCUCAAGUGUACAUGGACGAAGUUGUGAGGUUACAUGGCGUUCCAGUGAGUAUCGUCUCUGAUCGAGAUCCCCGUUUUGUAUCAAGGUUCUGGCAAAAUUUCCAAGAGACUCUGGGGACUAAACUUAAUCUAAGCACCACCUAUCACCCUUAGACGGAUGGGCAAUCGGAGCGCACAAUCCAAACUCUCGAGAAUAUGUUAAGAACCUGCAUUUUGGAUUUUGGAGGUAACUGGGGUCAACACAUGACCUUAGUGGAGUUUGCGUACAAUAAUAGCUACCAUUCGUCGAUUCAAAUGGCUCCAUACGAGGCACUAUAUGGACGAAAAUGCCGGUCACCGAUCUACUGGGACGAAGUUGGCGAGAGGAAGGCACUGGAUCCAGCAAUCAUUCCAUGGAUGGAAGAAGCUCGAGAAAAAGUUAAAUUGAUACAACAACGACUCCAAACAGCUCAAAACCGACAAAAGAGCUACGCGGAUAAUCGAAGAAAAGAUUUGGAGUUCGAAGUUGGAGACCAUGUGUUUCUUAAAGUCACACCGUUACGGAGUGUCACAGCAGGUAGAGGAAAGAAGCUCCAACCGAGGUUCGUUGGACCUUACAAGAUUCUUCAAAGGGUUGGCAAGGUGGCGUAUCGCCUGGAACUACCAUCCAGUCUCUCUCGAAUUCACGACGUCUUCCACGUCUCGAUGCUCAAGAAGUACUAUCCCGACCCCUCCCACAUCUUGCGGCCAGAAUAAAUCGACAUAGAUGAAUCGCUCGCUAACGAAGAGAAACCCGUCCAAUUAUUCGACCGAAAAGUUAAAGAGCUGAGACACAAGCAGAUUCCGUUGGUUAAGAUACUGUGGAAAAAUCAUGGGGUAGAGGAAGCUACCUGGGAGGUGGAAGAAGAGAUGCAAAAGAAAUAUCCUGAACUGUUCGUGAAUCAAGGUGAGAAAUUUCGAGGGCGAAAUUCUUUUAAGGGGGAGAGAGUGUGAGAACCCGUAAAUUUUCUCAUUUUCUAGGUUUUAUUCUAUUUAAUGUCAUGUUUUUCUGCAUUUUCUUUAUGAGAAAAAUUUUUCGGAUAAUUUUUAUGAGUAAAUAUAGUUUUUAGAUGAUUUUUCUAGUAUCGGUUAGUUUUUGAGAGAUUAAGAACGUAUAUCGGACGUGGGACCCGCUAGUGCGGAAAGUUCGGUAAAAUUCGGCCAAUUGGGUUAAGUUUUGUAUACAGGGUUUAAUUUACUAGGUGCGAAGAGAUAAUUAGAGGAUACCAUAUGGAUGAGAGUUGAGGAAACAAAGGGAUAUGCAUGCAUUAAAUAGGGUGACAAGUGUCACCAUAUGAUUAAAUCUUACAUUUUUGACCACUAUUCAUUACUUUACCAAAUUAAUACCAAAAUUGACCAAAAAUUCACCAUUUUCUUCCUCUUCUUGGCCGGCUCUCUCCAAGCAAAAAAGAAAAGAAAACUCUCUACCAUCUUACCUCUAAUCAUGCCCAAUCUCUCAAUUAAACCGUUUAAUCUUCAAAUUUCUCCAUAAACCUCUUAGAUUAGUGAAGUUAAGCUUGGUUGUGGAGUGAUUUGGAGGAUUAAGGUGCAAAUUUGCUCCUUUUCUUGGGUUGUUAAGGUAAGUAACUAAGGGACAUCUCUUUCUUCUCAAUAAUGUUUAAUUAGCGACUUAUAUGAGAUGAAGUGGUGAUAUUAGGUGUUGUUUCAUGAUUUUUGGUAGAAAUUGGUGAAGUUUUGUAUUUAUUCAUGAUUUUUCUGUUUUCAUAUGAUUAAUAUUGUGUGGCCAUGGAUGAUGGUUGGGAAUGGAUUAGAAUGAAGCCUUAGUGUGUAAAUUGUAGCUAUUUGCGGAAAAUUUCCGCAUUGAACGGAAAAAUUCGGAAUUAGGGUUGCAAUUGAACCCAUUCUUCCUGGUACUGUUACAGUUAGUUAGAGGCCGAAUUAGCCUUGGAUUAAAACAUAAAAGUUGUAGGGAAUGAUAUUUUAUAGUAUCCUACAAAAUUUUAGGCCAAUCGGAGUAACGUAGCCUAUGGAAAGACUGAAAUACCCCUGCUGCCCUGUUUCUGUCCGAACUUGGUAAUCAGCUUUGGUAAUUGGUUAAUUUGAUUGGGAAUACUACUGAUUUGGUUGUUGAGGUCUUCUUAAGAAAUAUAUCCUGGUAUCUUAGCUUUUGGAUGGCUUUGGAAUCACUUGAAUUGGACUUUGGUAGUCUGAAUUGUGAUUAUCUAACCAGAAUGCGGUUCGUUAACCUGUUUAUGCGGUUCUGGUUUAGUACAUUGAACUUUUGACUUAGUUGCACUACAAACUGGACUGAGUGGCCUUCUUCAACAUUGUAUCCCUUUCUGUUAGCUUCGAAACGGUGUAUAUUGUACAUCCAUCCGAUAAUCGUAGUGCCGGUUGUGGCCAAUACGCUUAAUGAAGGCAAAACUAUUUUUAGGUUUUAGAGCUUAACUUUCAUUUCCGGACUUUCCUUAGCUUACUUUAGUACUUAUACAUGCUAAUGAAGCCUUAAUUUCGGUAGUAUGUGGAAAUUGGUUUAUAACUUGUAAUCGAGUCUUAUUGUGCCUAUUUGAAAAUUUUAGGGCGUGACGGUGAUUAAAGACGCUCGUGGGACGGAAGUUUAUGAAAUUUCACUUGCUUACUUGGUGAGUAUACUACUCACAUGUUUGUUUACAAUGUGGCUUUGUUAUAUUUGAACUUGAUGCCUUGAAGGCUUAUUUGCACCGGUGAAACUGAUUAAAGUGAGGGUGUACUUGAUCGCCCUCACCCCUUUUGUAUUAUAUAUGACUGUUAACUGUGGUACUUGAAUAGUACAUGAAAUACUGGAUUUGGUGUCGUAUGGACGAGUAUCCAACGGCCAUUACUGUUACUACUGAGCUCAACCCCAUUGGUAGUCAAUUGGAUCGAACCGGCGAGGGCUUGGUCGUGAAAAUUGAUGAGUCAUGGGGACUGUUAUAUGGAAUCUUGUAGUAUGAGACUCUCGAUUCCGGUACACUCGAGUAUUACCAAAUUUAUACUGUUUGGAGUUCAGGCCCUGUAGGGGUAUGUUGGGUGGAAGGAAUGGAAGUAAAGUGGAGCCUACGGUUGGUUACUUUGUAAACAUUGACGGAGGUUCAAUGAAAUCCGAUCAAGUAUACAAGCGAGGAAAGGGGCUCUUGAGAGCCGUCCGUAUCCUUUUAACCAUAUUGUGAAUGUGUGAUCUUGGUUUACUUCAAUAUUGAACGUUUUAUGCCUAUAUGAAUUUGGUUUCUUGAGUGAUAGUAUCUCACUGGGCGUAAGCUCACUCUAUUCCUUUUGUUUUCCUUACAGGAAUAUAAACACUUUUGGAAUGACUUUUGAUAGUUGGUUGCCGAGUUGAGCUUGUUGUAACUAUCUUUUGAAUAGCUCCUUUUGGGCAAAACCCUAAGUGCAUUUUGAUCCAACCAAGUCGUUGAGUUGUAAUUUGCAAACCGUACAUGUACAAACUUGUUGGAUAACUUUUGUAUGCUACUUUGGAUUGUAAAUGCUUAAUUUCAAGGUGUAUAUGUUUGAUGGAUGUUUGGUGAGAUUCCGGCCGGAUUCUGACGUGUCAGUUACUAUUAAUGUCGGCUCCGAUUUUCAUUUUUUUUUAUUUUGUGAUUUUGACUUGUUUAAGCGCGCUUGUAUGUUCCGGAACGUUUAGACCGUAUUGAAUUGUCCCGUUAGUCCUGGCGAGAAUUGGGCAGGCAGUCCGCUAACCCCUUUGGUUCGCCUUAGGGGAAGGUGGGGCUGUCACAGGUGGUAUCAGAGCCUAUGUUUGAAUUGGCCUGGGCGUGUUUGAAAGGCUCGACUUGAGGAUUAUUUUGAUUAUGUUCCUUAAGGUUAUUUACAUUUAUUUACUCUUUUAGUGUAGGAUGGACGGACGUGGUGAACCUAGUGAUAGCCCUCCUGGUGAACGACCCCGUGGAGUGCUCCCAGUGAUGCCAUACCAGAUACGGCCAAGAGGGGCCGUCUUGCGUUGGAGCCCGGCUAACCGCCUCCGAUGGUGUGAGUGUCGUCACACCCACACCUACCCUAACACCUUAGUGUUGGCCGUGGCCAAGGAACAGAAGGAGCUGGCCAAAGAUAAUGCUAGGCUCGAGGCCGAGGUGAAUCAGUUGAGGGCGGCCAACGAGAAACAAGCCAAGCGAAUUAAGGAUCUAGAGUACGAUGUGCUCGAGUGUGAGGAUAGAGUGGACGACCUCUGCGCUCAACUUAGGGAGGCACAUGAGCGUGAGACUAAGCGAGCUCGGAAGGUUAGGGUUCGAGCCGCGUCGAUCCUGAACCUCUGUGCCGACGUGCUCGAGGAGGUGAGCGACGAGGCGUCGUGCACAGGGGCCGGGGCAGGAGAUGAAUCCACCCCGUCGGGUGGGUCCACUAGCCCGACGACGGACUAGGUUGUGGCUCCUAGGAUCUUUUGGGAUAGUUUUGUUUUUGUAUAUAGGACGGAUGGGGAAAAGAGCCUUAGCUAGCCGUUUUGUACGUUGGAUUAGCUACGUGUAUAUUAUUUUUGAUAAGGUCAUUCCCUGGUGGAUUGUCAAUGUUUAUACUUGACUUGACUGUACUUGAUUUGACUGUACUUGGCUUGACUGGUUGUUGAUAUGUGUGUUGUUUGAUUUUGUUUGGAAUGUAUAUAGAUGUGUUUGUAAAAGCUUUUGGGAUUUUACUUACAUGCCUUGUUAUUUUAUUGUUCUAGUACGUUUGCCUAGAUCAAAUAGAUUUCAUGGAAGACACGCGUAGUGUACGGGGACGUGGGCGCGUGAAUAGGUAACCUACGUCGGACCAGGGUGCUGGGGAAACCUCAUCGGGACCUAACCCUGAACCGAGGGCUGACCCCAAUGUGCAAAUAGCUGUCGCUAUGCAGCAAAUGACCAAUCUGCUGGCACAAGUGGUGCAGCAACAAGGCCAAAACCCAAACCUUAAUCCUGGAAACCCGGACAACCACGUCGAAAGCGACGAUAGGGCCCUUGAGAGGUUCCAGAAGUUCGCCCCACCGAAGUUUAUUGGGGGGCCCGACCUGGAUGUCGCCGAAAGGUGGUUUGAGAAAAUGGUAGACAUUUUCGCUGCCCUGCACUAUACCGAGGAACGGCAGGUGACUUUUGCCGGUUUUCAGCUGGAAGGAGCGGCCCGUUCCUGGUGGAACGUUAUUCGGCAAAAAUGGGAACGGGAACAAACGCCCAGGACUUGGGUGAACUUUAUGCGGGAGUUCAACUCGAAAUUCUUUCCCCCUCUAGUUCAGGAGAGGAAGGAAGACGAGUUUAUCCGACUUCGUCAAGGGGUCCAGUCGGUAGCGUAGUACGAGAGCCAGUUCACCCGCCUCUCCAAAUUUGCUCAUGAGCUGAUCAUAACCGAGCAACGACGGAUAAGGCAUUUUAUCCAGGGCCUGAACGUGGAAAUUCAGAAGGAUCUCGCGGUGGCCCAGAUUAACGCUUUUAGCGAGGCCGUGGAGAAGGCUCAACGGGUAGAGAGCGCUAGGGUACAAGUCCGGAACUUCCAGGCAAAGAAGCGCGGCUUUCCUAGAAGCAGUUUGGGGCAAGGGGAUAAAGGUACCCCCUCCAAGUUCGGACGGGGAGCUGGAGGUGGACGACAGACGGGGCUCGGCAGAGGGGCUCUGUCCAGGGGUGGCCCAACUGGGAGAGGCCAAGGCAGAAACUUCCAGAAGGGUUCAAGUUCGGCGUCCCGUGGGCCUUAUGGGUACUGCGGAAAGCCGAACCACUCCGAGGAUAAUUGCUGGAAGAAAGAAGGGAAAUGUCUGCGCUGCAGAAGUGCAGACCACCGUCUUGCCACCUGCCCAGUCCUAAAGCAAGACGGAAAUGGAGCCCAACCAGCGUCAAAGACCAAUGCGGGACCAGCUAAGGGAGAUAGGACGAAACCUAAUGUCGCGGCUCGCGUGUACUCAUCAGAGCCCCAGCAGGUCCCAGAUUCCUCUGAGGUCGUAGAUGGUACGAUCCCUGUAUUCCAACACUUUUCCAAAGUUUUAGUAGAUCCUGGUGCCACCCAUUCCUUUGUUAAUCCUGAUUUUAUGUGUGGCAUUGACAUAAAACCUGCUAGUUUACCUUACGACCUAGAAGUUAGUACGCAUACGGGGGAUCACCGUUUGGUUACUAGUCUGGUUUAUAGGGAUUACGAGGUUUGGGUAGGAGAGAGGAGGUUGUUAGGGGACUUGAUCAGCCUGUCCAUCAAGGGGUAUGAUGUGAUUCUGGGCAUGGACUGGUUAGCCAGGUAUAAUGCCCAAUUGGACUGUAAAAAGAAGGUGGUGGAGUUCCGCAUUCCUGGAGAAGCGACCUUCGGGUUAGAUAUAAGGGGAAGGUUAGCCUCAUCUGCCCUAAUCUCGGGCAUUGGGGUUAGAAAACUGCUAUAUCGAGGGGCGCAAGGAUUUUUAGCCUUUCUAAUCAACACUCCCACGGAUAAAUUGAAAGUAGAGGACGUGGCCAUAGUAAGGGAAUACCCAGACGUGUUUCCUGAUGAGUUAGUAUCCUUGCCUCCGGAGAGAGAGAUAGAAUUUAAGAUUGACCUGCUACCGGGAACCUCACCUAUCUCAAAAAUCCCAUACCGAAUGGCUCCUGCGGAGCUCAAGGAACUAAAAUUGCAAUUACAGGACCUUCUGGAGCGGGGGUUCAUUCAAGAGAGUGGGUCUCCUUUGGGAGCUCCUGUCCUGUUUGUGAAGAAAAAAGAUGGUAGUUUGAGGAUGUGCAUUGAUUAUCGGGGCCUGAACAACGUCACAGCGUGACACCUCUGCGCUCAACUUAGGGAGGCACAUGAGCGUGAGACUAAGCGAGCUGGGAAGGUUAGGGUUCGAGCCGCGUCGAUCCUGAACCUCUACGCCGACGUGCUCGAGGAGGUGAGCGACGAGGCGUCGUGCACAGGGGCCGGAGCAGGAGGUGAAUCCACCCCGUCGGGUGGGUCCACUAGCCCGACGACGGACUAGGUUGUGACUCCUAGGAACUUUUGGGAUAGUUUUGUUUUUGUAUAUAGGACGGAUGGGGAAAAGAGCCUUAGCUAGCCGUUUUGUACGUUGGAUUAGCUACGUGUAUAUUAUUUUUGAUAAGGCCAUUCCCUGGUGGAUUGUCUAUGUUUAUACUUGACUUGACUGUACUUGAUUUGACUGUACUUAGCUUGACUGGUUGUUGAUAUGUGUGUUGUUUGAUUUUGUUUGGAAUGUAUAUAGAUGUGUUUGUAAAAGCUUUUGGGAUUUUACUUAGAUGCCUUGUUAUUUUAUUGUUAUAGUACGUUUGCCUAGAUCAAAUAGAUUUCAUGGAAGACACGCGUAGUGGACGGGGACGUGGGCGCAGGAGUAGGUAACCUACGUCGGACCAGGGUGUUGGGGAUACCUCAUCGGGACCUAACCCUGAACCGAGGGCUGACCCCAAUGUGUAAAUAGCUGCCGCUAUGCAGCAAAUGACCAAUCUGCUGGUACAAGUGGUGCAGCAACAAGGCCAAAACCUAAACCCUAAUCCUGGAAACUCGGGAAACCACGUCGAAAGCGACGAUUGGGCCCUUGAGAGGUUCCAGAAGUUCGCCCUACCGAAGUUUAUUGGGGGGCCCGACCCGGAUGUCGCCGAAAGGUGACUUGAGAAAAUGGUAGACAUUUUCGCUGCCCUGAACUAUACCGAGGAACGGCAGGUGACUUUUGUCGUUUUUCAGCAGGAAGGAGAGGCUCGUUCCUGGUGGAACGUUAUUCGGCAAAAAUGGGAACGGGAACAAACGCCCAGGACUUGGGUGAACUUUAUGCGGGAGUUCAACGCGGAAUUCUUUCCCCAUCUAGCUCAGGAGAGGAAGGAAGACGAGUUUAUCCGACUUCGUCAAGGGGCCCAGUCGGUAGCGGAGUACGAGAGCCAGUUCACCCGCCUCUCCAAAUUUGCUCAUGAGCUAAUCAUAACCGAGCAACGACGGAUAAGGCGUUUUAUCCAGGGUCUGAAUGUGAAAAUUCAGAAGGAUCUCGCGGUGGCCAAGAUUAACGGUUUUAGCGAGGCAGUGGAGAAGGCUCAACGGGUAGAGAGCGCUACGGUACAGGUCCGAAACUUCCAGGCAAAGAAGCGCGGCUUUCCUGGAAGCAGUUCGGGGCAAGGGGAUAAAGGUACCCCCUCCAAGUUCGGACGGGGAGCUGGAGGUGGACGACAGACGGGGCUCGGCAGAGGGGCUCAGUCCAGGGGUGGCCCAACUGGGAGAUGCCAAGGCGAAACUUCCAGAAGGGUUCAAGUUCGGCAUCCCGUGGGCCUUAUGGGUACUGCGGAAAGCCGAACCACUCCGAGGAUAAUUGCUGGAAGAAAGAAGGGAAAUGUCUGCGCUGCGGAAGUGCAGACCACCGGCUUGCCACCUGCCCAGUCCUAAAGCAAGACGGAAAGGGAGCCCAACCAGCGCCAAAGACCAAUGCGGGACCAGCUAAGGGAGAUGGGACGAAACCUAAAGUCGCGGCUCGCGUGUACUCGUUAAAGCCCCAGCAGGUCCCAGAUUCCUCUGAGGUCGUAGAUGGUACGAUCCCUGUAUUCGACCGCUUUGCCAAAGUUUUAGUAGAUCCUGGUGCCACCCAUUCCUUUGUUAAUCCUGAUUUUAUGUGUGGCAUUGACAUAAAACCUGCUAGUUUACCUUACGACCUAGAAGUUAGUACGCCUACGGGGGAUCAUCGUUAAGUUACUAGUCUGAUUUAUAGGGAUUACGAGGUUUGGGUAGGAGAGAGGAGGUUGUUAGGGGACUUGAUUAGCCUGUCCAUCAAGGGGUAUGAUGUGAUUCUGGGCAUGGAUUGGUUAGCCAGGUAUAAUGCCCAAUUGGACUGUAAAAAGAAGGUGGUGGAGUUUCGCAUUCCUGGUGAGACGACCUUAAGGUUAGAUAUAAGGGGAAGGUUAGCCUCAUCUGCCCUAAUCUCGGGCAUUCAGGUUAGGAAACUGCUAUAUCGAGUGUAGACACCAAAUUUUUGGUGUUUUAUUAUUUAUUUGUUCUAUUUUUAUUUGUCACAUUUAGUUUUAUUUACUUUUAGUUUUAGUUAUUUUAGCCAUUUUAGCUAGAAUUUCUCAAAGGGAAAAGAAAAGCGUUCCAAAAAAUAUGUUUUAGUUGUUUAGGGAUUUAGUUUCAUUAUUUAAAGAAAAAGGAAAAAUGAAAAAUGGAAAAAUGGAAAAAAUGAAUUGGAGUUUGCACUUUGUUGUUUCUAGCUUAUUUAUUUUUCGUCCAAUGAUAAUUAAAUUGUUUUGUUAUUUAUUUUUGUUGUUAUUGUAUUAGUUAAAAAAAAAAAAAAAAAAUGGAAACCGCGGUAUGCAAUCUGCGUUUUGGUCGCAGCUUGCAAGGAAGCUUUGGGGCAGCCCUUGGGCUGCAAAUAUGAGAGAAAGGACUGGGCUUUAGGGCUAGGGAUCCCAUAUAAAAGAAAAGAGAGGCAGUAGCCGCAAAAGGAGAUCGAGGGACGGCUGCAGAAAUUUGGGAAGAGAAGAGAAAACCAAAAAGCUAACGGGAAGAGAAAAAGCAGAGAGCGAUGCAAAAGGCUAGGUUGGGAGAGAGAGAAAGAGGUUACGGGAGUGAAGAGAGGGACGGCAAAGAGAAAGAAAAAAAACCAGAGAGAAAAGAGAGCUGGGGGAGGGGAAGAAACCGAGAGCAAGAGCUGGAGAAUAGCAUCAGGUGGUUGGCGGCUGAGAAAGAACCAAAAGAGUGGAGGAAGAGAAACCCAUCGAAGGAAACCGUAAAGAGAUGAAGCCUAAAGCUCGAAGCUCCACGGCACUUUGUCAAAGUUCGCAGUUCGGGUUCGGCCAAUCCGGGACUACCCACGGUGAUUUAACUCCGGGAGCAGCGAAAUAGGUAAUCUUCAAUCUCUUCUCUGUUCGUUUUAAGGUUUGGGUCGCAAAGCCAGUUUUGUACGUCCACCCUGACUGCAUUUUUGCUAUCGAUUGUCUGGUGGGUUUGUUUUCAAAAAUCUGGUUUACUAAAGUUGAAGUCAGACAAGGUUUUGCGUUGUUCUGUUCUUUUAAGAUGAAGUAUAUGCCUGGGAUUGCGUUUGUUGUGUGUUUGACUAAAUAAAGCUCUGUGCUUUGCGGUUUAAAUAUGUGAAGGGUAGUUUGCAUCAUCAGCCUAGGUAUUACCAGAAGUUCAUGAUCGUGCCUCUGGUUUCCUUUGGUGCGUGAAUCUGGAUUGGGUUAGCUUAGAACCACUGAAGCUUGUGUUUCUCUUGAUUUGAUCUGACUGUAAAAGGGGGGGGUUCGAUGGAUAAACCCACAGGCUUCAUGAUUCUAUUUCUGUUGGCAUGAUAAACUGGAAAUUCUGGACAAGUCGUGGCUGAAAAUUGCAGCAAAUCUUCUGAUUUUCCAGAUUUGCAUGAUGGCUAUCUUAAGUGUUUUUCUUGUUUGGGCUUGCGGUUUUAGGUAGCUGUUGUUUAAUCCAAAUUUUUUGAUGCUUGAUUGAAAAAUCCUGAUUCAUUCUCGGUUGCCGAAGCUUUGAAGUUUAGGAAGCUGAUCGCCGAAAAACUUUGCUGCACUCUUUCUUCUUUGCUGUUUAGUUUUUUUACUUUCUUGAUGGUCAGCUCCCAACUUCAUAUGUGCAACGGAAUUGUGUGUUUAGCUAAUGUUUUUUGCGCAUAAGAGUGGAGCAUGGGAUGAUGUCUUCUUGGUUGAAGAACGUUUGGCAAGCUGCCGAAUUUUCUGUUGCAGAAAACCUGCGACAUGUUUUCCUUUUAUUGCUGUCUUGCUGUUUAGUUUUUCACCCUUGAUGGCCAGCUUCACUUCUUGUUUUAAUCCUGCAAUAAGAAUAGCUGCCUUAAUCUUGCAAAUGAUGAAAUGAUUAUGCUUAGAUGAAAUGUUUUGAUCAAAGCUUGGAAAUGGAAAUGAGAAGUGCAGCAGUUUUCUUUCUCGGUUGAUAGAAGUUGGAAUAGAAAGUAAAUUGCAGAAGUUUUCUUGUCUACGUAGCUUGCAUGAGUUUUGCAUGAAACAAUUGCUGAAAACUGCACUUUGAUCCCUCAAGUCUCCCCUUGUUCUACUAGGACCCAAUCAAUUGAAUAAUUUCAUCAAUUUGGUCCUUGGCAAUUUUAAUUCUACAAUUUCAUUGCUUGCUUGCUUCAAUUGACUACCAUGCUUUGUUUCAAUUGCACUUAAUUCAUGAUUUUAGGGGCUUUAUGACCAAGUGAGCUUGUGUUUGCCUAUUUUCUUUAUUUUUUCCAAAUAAAUUGGUGCCUUGACCAUUUCUUUUAUUUUGGAAGAUAAAUAAGUGAUUUCGCUUCAUUGGUGCCCAAUUACAAGGGAGGUAACCUCUAUCUCCUUGAUUUUCAUUUCUCCUAUGUGAUCCAACGUGCUAAGUGUGAAUUGCAUGUCUACGUUGCUUUCCUUGCCUUUCUUUAAGUCUUUGCAUUUAUUUCAUUUACCUUUACUUUUAUUUAAGUUAUUCAUUAUGGGGUAUGUGUACACCUCUUGGCUUGUAAUUUAAGUUAUUCAUUAUGGGGUAUGUGUACACCUCUUGGCUUGUAAUAGAUAGGGCUUGGGGAGCACUUGAUGAAGACCUAUUGAAGACAUUGUGCCUAGCUAGCAAAUGUAAUAGGUUUAUUAGCUUGAUUGCUUGUUUUUGUUGCUAUGUGUUAAUUUGCUUUAUUAGGUUCUUGCAUUUAGUUGAGCAUGCUAAUUGUUAUGUGCUAUGUGCUUAUAGGUGUUUGGCAUGUCUAAUCGCUUUCCAUAGCCAUGAAUGAAUGUGAUGGAUGAAUGUACGUCACCACACUAGUCCAAUGCUAGUUGUGGCUCAUUAUUUCAUUAGGAAUUCAUAGAAAGGGCUAGUCCAACGCUAGACCCAAUAGGCCAUCCCCUUUUGUUAGUGCAUAUUUGCAUGUCCACUACAUGUCAUGCAUUUUUCUUAGUUUUAUCAUUUGGCAUACUCCUCGAGCCCCUUUUCCCCUCAUUUUAGGAUUUUUGCACCUCAUACUAGGUAUAGGGUAAAUUUGCCUGAAGAGUCCCCUUAAAUAUGGGAUAUAGACGAGUGUGGCUUUUUCUAAACCUUAGCACGCUUAUAUUCCCUCUAUCAAAGGAAAAAUCAAGUCACAAAGUUAAGAGUCCCCGUACCCGUUUUGCUUGCAUUCCCAUAGGAUUCAUGCAUUUCAUUCAUUCACUAUCACUUACUUUAUAUUCCAUUCCUCUUUCUACAUUCUCACUUCACACUACUUUCACACUACUUUCUACAUUCUCACUUCACACAUGCACCCUAUGGCAUUUUUCACCUUAUUAAUCUUUACUUACUUUACCUUGCAAAGACAUUUGCACACCUCCACUUAUAUCUUAUUACUUUUAUCAUUUUUCUCACUUCACACAAACUCACAUUUUCACAUGGCAUGCAUUCCACUCAUUUUUACAUCAUUUAGGAUUAUGUGACCUAUCCAAAGGAUCAUUAUUGGGCUUCACAAUUAAUGUGAUUGGCACCACUCAACCUUUGAAGAGAAAUUUCCCCCAUGUCCCCCUAGGUCUAGGUUUUUGCAUUCAUAUAGACAUAUCCAACACGCGAUACAUACCUUGGGUAGAAAAAUUAGGAAAAAUUGGUUUAAGUCACGCAACUAGCCUUGGCUAGGUCGAAGGGGUGCCUUGGAUUUUUAUCCUUGCCUUCCCCUUCGUCAAAUGUGACUCCCGAUCCCUCUUUUGGUUACGUAGACCCAAAAAUUCUCUAAAAGGGUUUAUUUACUUUUUUCAUUCAAAAACAAAAAUCAUUUUUGGGUGACUUGGUACACCCUAACUCUAUACCAAGUGGCGACUCCAUUUUUCAAGAAACCCUUUUGAACUUUGUUUGGCCAAAAUCGUCGCAUUCUUAAGUCCCAUGGCCUUUUACUUCUCAUUUCGCACACGUUCACAUUCCACUAUACACACACUACACACACCACACACACAUUCAAUCAAAAAGUGGGGCGCGACAGUUGGCGACUCCACUGGGGACUUCCUAAGUGGGUCCAAGCAUUUGACUUAGCCAUUCGUUUCCUUUUUCUACCCUUUUUAUGCAUAGCGUUUGGAUAUUAGGGUUGCAUUUUCCAUUUUUAGGGUCUUUUGCCUCGCGCGUGUAUCCAACUAUUCCCUCACUCACGUACGUGUGAUUGGUUGAUUGGAUGUAUGUUUACUUGUUUAUCUCGCGCUUGCAUUGCAUUUGGGGGGGGUGUCACCUUUAGAGCCUCGCGUGGUUCUCAACCCCUUCCCUCAAAAUAGGAAAACACUUCAUACGUGCACGUUUACUUGCUGUUAUCCCAUUUUAUUUUAUUUUUCGUGGGCGUUUCCCACACCGCCUUGUAGGAUUAGGAUCGAUUGCCUUGGGUAGGCGGCUGGUGUGCUCUGCGCCCAUAGCGCUACCAAAGGGAUCACUCGAGCCACCGAUCAAAGGCCCUGGGAGUAAUGACCCUUCGCCUUUAGGUCUGAAGGCUUGGGAGCCGAGACUUAUCGAGUCUAGUUGCAUUAGUGAACCCCAGCCUCAUGCAUCCAUGUUAGAAUUUUCCUAGAUUAGAGUCAGCCUCACCCUAUUUUAAGCACAUUAGGCACGAGGGAAGGGGUUCCACCCCUUUUACUUGUUUUUAUUGUAUUUCUUUUCUUAAUUGCUCCCAAUGUGUUAUGUGUACUAUCAAUUGCACUAACCAUUCUUUUGUUUUCUUUGAUUGCAUUCAUGUGCCUUAGCAUAAGAGACCUUUUUGGCACUCUUUUAGUGACUUACCCACUAGAUGAUUCACAUGUUUAAAUUUCAACUAUUGCACUUGGUUUUCAAUAAAUACAUUUUAUUUUUAGACCUUUUCCCCCCGAUGUAUUAUUUAUGUCCUUUAGGCCAUAUUUGUCACAUAUUUACAUCACUUUAAUAAAUGGCAUCAUACAUAAACCCUAGAAGGGAAUGCCACAUAGGGAAUCCCGUGUUUAGGAAUAAGCCACCUUGUGUCUCGGAUACUUAAUCCAGUGAGACUUGCACGUUUACAUUGUUGUACCAUCCAAAGGGGUAGUGCACAAGGUAAGGUAGGAUCCGAUCGUCUUUCAUAGAGUGAUCUUUGGAAUAUGAGCAUCUAAUAAUCACUUUUUGGCCAUUUUAUCAAAAAUUGGUAAAAAUCCCUUGCGCGAAGGACAUUAAUUUGAAGAAAUUCACAAAUGAUUCCUCCUAGACGAUAAAUAAAUUGAGGCCAAAAUUUGAUUUUUAGAAAGGUCAUAGACUAAUGCACCUCAAUAAUUUUGAAAUAACCAAUGGCCGGACAAAUCAACCAAUCCAUUUUGCCAAUUCAUUCAAUAAAUCGUCAAUUCAUUUGACCAAUUUACCCUUUUUAGGGUCACCUGGUCGAUUUUGAAUAAAUCAUCAAUUCAUUUGGCCAAUUUACCCAUUUUUAGGGCAACCGAGCCGAUUUUGAAUAAAUCAAGUUUCGUUCAAUCUAUUUGAUCAAAUUACCCUUUUUAGGGUGAUCUGGUUAAUUUUGGAUAAAUUAAAUUUUACUCAAUUCAUUUGACCCAUUUCCCUUUUUAGGGUAAUGCGGUCGAUUUUAAAUAAAUUUCAUUCAACCCGUUUGACCAAUUAGGGUUUCAAUGUCGAAUUCCAAAUUAGGAAGUCUAGUCGAUUUUUUUUUUGAAAAAACCAUCCAUUGCAUCCAGCCAUUUGAUCAAUUGGGGUUUUUACCCGUGUUACACUGAGAAAAAUUUUGUCAACGAAUUCCAAUCUCUUCGAUAGGAAGUUCGUCAAGGUCAAACCCGUGCGUUUUUGCAACUUCUUGUAUCGAUCAAAAGUGAUCAAUCCAUUCGGACGUUGACCUCAUUUUGACAAAUCUCUCGUCACUCCAAUUGACCAAAUUCUUUCAAAAUUAUUUCUCACUCAAUAAGUUGAUCAGAUCCAUCAGGUAUGGUAUGGUGCCUACCCUAGAGGAUUGCAUUUUCAUGCUAGGCCUACCCUUGGCACAAAAAGGGUUCCCCCAUAGGACAUACAUCCGAAUUUUCUGGAUAUCUACUAACUCUUGCCUUUUUCUUUUCCUUUUCUUUAUUUUCUUUGGAAUAAAUUAAGCAAGGGUUGAAUCUAAAGGCAAUUCCUUUUAAAAUUCUCAGGUAAUAUUUAAACAUAGUUUCCCGUCGAAGCCCCAUCAUAACGCGAUCCCGUAGUCGAGCCCAGAGGAGUCGUGUAAACAUGAGUUCACAACCGGAACCAUCGGAUAGGUCUGCUACUACUGUCCAACCUGAGACUGCAAGUUUGGGGGUCCAACUGACCGAGAUGCUUACGAAGUUUGGUGAGAUGGCAACUGAAAUGGCCGCCAAAAAGAAAUUAAUCGAUGAGUUUAUCAGUAGCGGAGUCCAACCUGAGCCUGUACUCAUCAGUCAAUCGGGGCCGGAGUCAUUGGUCAUGCCCACGACCCAAACUACUUUUACUCCACCCUUCAUCAUUCCACCCGAAGGAACCUUCACCUAUCCCACCAUAAAUUUGCCAUACACUUGCCCUCCUGAUCCUUCGUUCUUCCCUACUUACAUGCAAGGCCCACAACCCCAAAUCACUUCGAACAUACCUCCUAAGCCGCAUACCUUUUAUCACGAUACAGCUGAGCCUUUCUUACCAGGCCAUAUUAUUCAAACCAAGCCAGAAAUGGGGGAAUCUUCUGCUCCCGUUGAUGUGAAGCUGCUUAAGCGCCUUGACCGCUUUGAUGAAUUUAUGAAGAAAAGUCAAGGGUUAAACAAGCAAGGAGUUCUGGAUUACGACGAGCUUUGCCUUUUCCCGAAUGUGCAGUUACCUGAGGGGUUCAAAACUCCGAAGUUUAACAAGUAUGAUGGGACGGGCAAUCCCAAGACACAUCUCAGAUUGUUGGCCAACAAGUUGGGUAGGCCAACAGAUGAUGAAAAUCUGCCUUUGAGGCUAUUCCCAGAAAGUCUGGAGGGAGAUGCACUCGACUGGUAUUCCAAGCUGAAACCCGAAGAAGUGAAGACCUGGUUUGACUUGGCCAACGCUUUUGUAAGGCAGUACGAGUAUAAUUGCGAGCUGGCUCCGACGCGAACCGCGUUGGAAGGAACAAAAAGAAAACCCUCUGAGGACCACAAGACAUAUGCCAAAAGGUGGAGGAAAAUAGCUGCAAAGGUCGAGCCACCAAUGACCGAAGACGAAAUCAUACGCGCUUUCAUUAAGGCACAUGAUCCGCCGUACUUUGAAGAAAUUUUCCGCAUGACUGGAUGCUCAUUUGCCGCAAUUGUUAAUAAGCUUGAGGAAUUUGAUGAUUUCGUGAAAGCUGGAAAGAUUGUAAAUGUGUCUGCCCUCAAAUCACAGUUGGAUGCUUUGCAAAGCCAAGGUAGUAAUGGGAAGAAGCAACAAAUCCAAAAGAAAGAAGGGGAAACUGCUUUUGUCUGGAAUCGAAACCCUGUCCCAAGGCCCAGGCCUCGACAAUACCCUACCUACUCAAACCCUUACCCUUGCUAUUCAAACCCUCAUCCUGUUUAUCACAUUAAUACCCCUCAUCCUCGACCUCGACCAAGUUACCUAAACACAUCUACAACUCCAUUCCAUAUUUCUCCACAUAACUUUCAAACUAGACCUCGCUCUCCUUAUCAACCAAGACCCACCUUACCCGCCAACCAUAAUUACAACUAUCAACAGACCGCUGGCAUCCGAGACCCGGCCCGAUAAAGAACUUUUACCAAUAUAGGUCGGCCCUUGGAUCAACUGUAUGAGCAGCUCAAGGCCGCGGGGAAAAUUGGUACAAUACCUCCUAAAGUCUAUACUAAAGGAGUUCCCCCUGGUUAUAAUCCUCAAUCUUUUUGUGCCUACCAUUCUGGAGCUCCUGGACAUUCUACUGUCAAUUGUUGGGUACUUAAACACAAAAUCCAAGACAUGAUUGAGGCCGGAGACAUAAUUUUGAAAGGGAGGGAAGAACAAGGACCAAAUAUAAGUAUAAAUCCUUUUCCUGAACACAAGGACACCUAUGAGGCAUCCACCUCCAAUGACGAAAUUUGAAGGUCUUGAAGAGCUCUUCACAAUUUGGAUAGCUGACUAUCUUCCCUCUCGAAGGGAAUUUUGAUAAAUCUAGGGGUUGUCAUUUGCUAAAAUUCAUGAAAACUUUUUCUUGCAUAUGUACAUAGCUUAAUGAAAGCAUCUUUUGCAAUUUGAUUAUUUGUUUAUUUGAUUAUUGUUUUGAUUUUUUGUUAAUUCUUUGAGAUGGCCAAAGGUGAAGUUAUUUGACUCUUUGAAUAUCACUGUUUUGGAAUUUGAUGAAACCCUUUAUUGAAAAUCCCUCCAUUAAAAAGCCCUCAUUGAGGAAUUCCUUCAUUGAGAAAGCCUUCAUUAAGAAAAUCCUUCAUUGAGAAAGUUUUCAUUGAGGAAAAAUCAUUGAAAAAUCCCUUCAUUAAAAAUCACUUCACUGGAAAAAUCCCUUCAUUAAAAAUCACUUCACUGGAAAAAUCCCUUCAUUAAGGAAUCCCUUCACUGGAAAAAUUCUUUCAUUGAUAAAUCCCUUCAUUCGAGAAAAUCUCUUUCCAGCCAGGUUGGAAGUUGAUUGGUUAAAACAGUGUCUUUAACGAUUGAUUCUGAUUGAUGAAAAGGAGUUGAAUGCUACGUGCCAUGACCAAUAUUGUCAAAACGCACGGCCUAUGUUCAUAACAAAAGGGUCCGCCACCGAUACCCUGAAGAAGGGAACAAAGUGCUAAUGUGAUGAAAGACGAAGUCAAAGGCAAAUUUGUUUCAAAUUGACAAAGUUUAUUGGAUGUUCAAGAGGUAUUGCCUGGAGGAGUACUCAUUUUGGGCAGAGAUGGAAGGACAGACAUUCCCUCGACCUAUCAACUCGGACAUGUGUAAGAAGUUCUUUAUUUGAUUACGCAAAUUUCUUUUUGGAAAUCGAGCAAGGGACGAGGCACAAGUCAGGCCAUCUUCCUUUCCAAUCAAAACAUUUCAUCCCUAGUCAUCCCCUUUGAGCUAUCAGAACAAUAAUUUUCGUUUGGCAACCCCUGAGAACUGCAAACCCCACACUGGGGCAAAUUCAUUUUAAAAAUGAUUAGAAAGGAAAGAAAAACCCCACACUGGGGCAAUUUAUCUUUGAAAGAGAUGAAAAGGGAAAAAGAACCCCACACAGGGGCAAAUUUAGUUUUUGAAAAAAAAGAGGAAAAAAAAAAUGCAAAAAGUAAGAAGAAUGCAAUGAAGAAAAUGCAAAGAAAGAAAAUCCAAUCAAACUGGGGCAAAAUUUUCCUCAGUUUCGUUCAAAAUUGGAAAUAAUUUCAAAAUGAUGCAAUCUCAGGCUAUUUCACACCCCUCUCAUCAAAGUUUGCUUUCAAGCCUCAACUUUUCUUGAAAAACACCCCACCUGACUUCAUUUCAAAAGCCCAAAGUCCUGGCUUUCGUCAUUUGCCGUAUUUUCUAUUGGGAAGUUUGCUAAUCAACUGGCAAGUGAUGUCCAUAAUGCCUUCGUUUUAGUUUAUAAGGGAGGCGCAUUUUACUGAUGCCAGCAAUCUUCAACUUACAUUCCUGAGUCGAUUAUGGUCAAGUUUUUCCAUUGUUCCUUAGGUGAAAACCCGAAAGGGCACCUCAAAAGAAAAGGAGAAAAAGAAAAGAAAAAGAAGAAAACAAAAACAAAAACAAAACAAAAGAAAAGGAAUGGGGGCAACCUUGGUGAAAACCCGAAAGGGCGCCAAGGUAGGAUUUCUGCAGUGAGCAAGCACAAGGAGGAACAACUGGUGGUUUGGUCCAUUUGGAUUUCUCCUCAUUUUUGUCAUACCCCUGCCAAUAUUGAAUUCCAGAACAAGGAUAUUCAGAGAUUCGAAUACGCAUCCUUGGGCCAAAACUGUGUCAUUUUGUAAAACAUUCUUUGGCAAAUACAUUCUUAGGAAACUCAUUUUUACAUCAUUUAGGAUUAUGUGACCUAUCCAAAGGAUCAUUAUUGGGCUUCACAAUUAAUGUGAUUGGCACCACUCAACCUUUGAAGAGAAAUUUCCCCCAUGUCCCCCUAGGUCUAGGUUUUUGCAUUCAUAUAGACAUAUCCAACACGCGAUACAUACCUUGGGUAGAAAAAUUAGGAAAAAUUGGUUUAAGUCACGCAACUAGCCUUGGCUAGGUCGAAGGGGUGCCUUGGAUUUUUAUCCUUGCCUUCCCCUUCGUCAAAUGUGACCCCCGAUCCCUCUUUUGGUUACGUAGACCCAAAAGUUCUCUAAAAGGGUUUAUUUACUUUUUUCAUUCAAAAACAAAAAUCAUUUUUGGGUGACUUGGUACACCCUAACUCUAUACCAAGUGGCGACUCCAUUUUUCAAGAAACCCUUUUGAACUUUGUUUGGCCAAAAUCGUCGCAUUCUUAAGUCCCAUGGCCUUUUACUUCUCAUUUCGCACACGUUCACAUUCCACUAUACACACACUACACACACCACACACACAUUCAAUCAAAAAGUGGGGCGCGACAUCGAGGGGGUAUUUCAGUUGACCCGGCGAAAGUAGAGGCCGUGACUAAAUGGAAGAGGCCGGAAAAUCCACCGAGGUUCGUAGCUUUCUAGGUUUAGCGGGGUAUUACCGGCGUUUCAUUAAAGAUUUUUCUAAGUUGGCCGGUCCUUUAACCGACCUGACGAAGAAAUAUGGUCGGUUCGUGUGGAAUACCAAAUGUGACGCGAGCUUUCAGGAGUUAAAGAAAAGGUUGACUACGGCGCCAGUUUUAGUCCUGCCUAACGGAGUUGAUGGGUUUGCCAUUUAUACUGAUGCGUCACGAGAAUGCUUAGGGUGUGUACUGAUGCAAAAUUGAAACGUGAUAUCUUUUGCCUUUAGGAAGUUAAAACCCCACGAGCAAAACUACCCAACCCAUGAUUUGGAGCUCGCCGCGGUUGUUUUUGCUCUAAAGAAAUGGAGGCACUAUCUAUAUGGAGUGACUUUUGAAGUGUACUCAGACCACAAAAGUCUUAGGUAUCUUUUCUUCCAAAAGGAAUUGAAUAUGAGACAGCGACGAUGGAUGGAAUUUCUGGAGGAUUACGACUGUACCAUCAACUACCAUCCAGGAAAGGCGAACGUAGUGGCCGAUGCCUUAAGUCGCAAGGCUCAGGCAGCAGGGUUAAUGAUUAAAGAGUGGGAUUUGCUAGAAUCGGUUUGUGAGUGGAAACCCUGCCUAGAGAGCCAUAAAGUGAUUUUUGGUAACAUUGGGGUGACAUCCACCCUAUUAGAGCGGAUUAAAGGAGCUCAAAAGGAGGAUGCUAUGGUGCGGAAAUGGGGAGAGAAGGUGGAAAAAGGGGAAACGACUGAUUUCAACUUCAGUCCUGAAGAUAUUUUAAGAUACCGGAACCGAGUGGUGGUGCCUAAAGAUGAAAUGUUGAAGACGGAGAUCUUAGAGGAGGCUCAUCGGUCCAAGUACACGAUCCAUCCGGGUAGUAGCAAGAUGUAUCAAGAUCUAAAAGGAGCCUAUUGGUGGGAUAAUAUGAAGAAGGAAAUCGCUCUGUACGUGCAGAAAUGUCUUAUUUGCCAACAGGUUAAGGCAGAGUAUCAAAAAACCAUCAGGUUUACUGCAACCCCUUGAGAUACCCGAAUGGAAGUGGGAGAACAUCACCAUGGACUUCGUUUCAGGGUUGCCACGGACGCAAAGAGGGCACGAUGCCGUUUGGGUGAUCGUUGAUCGAUUAACCAAGUCGGCCCAUUUCUUGCCGGUAAACAUGAAGUAUUCUAUGGACAAAUUGACUCAAGUGUACAUGGACGAAGUUGUGAGGUUACAUGGCGUUCCAGUGAGUAUCGUCCCUGAUCGAGAUCCCCGUUUUGUAUCAAGGUUCUGGCAAAAAUUCCAAGAAACUCUGGGGACUAAACUUAAUCUAAGCACCACCUAUCACCCUCAGACGGAUGGGCAAUCGGAGCGCACAAUCCAAACUCUCGAGGAUAUGUUAAGAACCUGCAUUUUGGAUUUUGGAGGUAACUGGGGUCAACACAUGACCUUAGUGGAGUUUGCGUACAAUAAUUGCUACCAUUCGUCGAUUCAAAUGGCUCCACACGAGGCACUAUAUGGACGAAAAUGCCGGUCACCGAUCUACUGGGACGAAGUUGGCGAGAGGAAGGCACUGGAUCCAGCAAUCAUUCCAUGGAUGGAAGAAGCUCGAGAAAAAGUUAAAUUGAUACAACAACGACUCCAAACAACUCAAAGCCGACAAAAGAGCUACGCGGAUAAUCGAAGAAAAGAUCUGGAGUUCGAAGUUGGAGACCAUGUGUUUCUUAAAGUCACACCGUUACGGAGUGUCAUAGCAGGUAGAGGAAAGAAGCUCCAACCGAGAUUCGUUGGACCUUACAAGAUUCUUCAAAGGGUUGGCAAGGUGGCGUAUCGCCUGGAACUACCAUCCAGUCUCUCUCGAAUUCACGACGUCUUCCACGUCUCGAUGCUCAAGAAGUACUAUCCCGACCCCUCCCACAUCUUGCGGCCAGAAUAAAUAGACAUAGAUGAAUCGCUCGCUUACGAAGAGAAACCCGUCCAAUUACUCGACCGGAAAGUUAAAGAGCUGAGACACAAGCAGAUUCCGUUGGUUAAGAUACUGUGGAAAAAUCAUGGGGUAGAGGAAGCUACCUGAGAGGUGGAAGAAGAGAUGCAAAAGAAAUAUCCUGAACUGUUCGUGAAUCAAGGUGAGAAAUUUCGAGGGCGAAAUUCUUUUAAGGGGGAGAGAGUGUGAGAACCAGUAAAUUUUCUCAUUUUCUAGGUUUUAUUCUAUUUAAUGUCAUGUUUUUCUGCAUUUUCUUUAUUAGAAAAAUUUUUCGGAUAAUUUUUAUGAGUAAAUAUAGUUUUUAGAUGAUUUUUCUAGUAUCGGUUAGUUUUUGAGAGAUUAAGAACGUAUAUCGGACGUGGGACCCGCUAGUGCGAAAAGUUCGGUAAAAUUCGGCCAAUUGGGUUAAGUUUUGUAUACAGGGUUUAAUUUACUAGGUGUGAAGAGAUAAUUAGAGGAUACCAUAUGGAUGAGGGUUGAGGAAACAAAGGGAUAUGCAUGCAUUAAAUAGGGUGACAAGUGUCACCAUAUGAUUAAAUCUUAUAUUUUUGACCACUAUUCAUUACUUUACCAAAUUAAUACCAAAAUUGACCAAAAAUUCACCAUUUUCUUCCUCUUCUUGGCCGGCUCUUUCCAAGCAAAAAAGAAAAGAAAACUCUCUACCAUCUUACCUCUAAUCUUGCCCAAUCUCUCAAUUAAACCGUUUAAUCUUCAAAUUUCUCCAUAAACCUCUUAGAUUAGUGAAGUUAAGCUUGGUUCUGGAGUGGUUUGGAGGAUUAAGGUGCAAAGUUGCUCCUUUUCUUGGGUUGUUAAGGUAAGUAACUAAGGGACAUCUCUUUCUUCUCAAUAAUGUUUAAUUAGCGACUUAUAUGAGAUGAAGUGGUGAUAUUAGGUGUUGUUUCAUGAUUUUUGGUAGAAAUUGGUGAAGUUUUAUAUUUAUUCAUGAUUUUUCUGUUUUCAUAUGAUUAAUAUUGUGUGGCCAUGGAUGAUGGUUGGGAAUGGUUUAGAAUUAAGCCUUAGUGUGUAAAUUGUAGCUAUUUGCGGAAAAUUUCCGCAUUGAACGGAAAAAUUCGGAAUUAGGGUUGCAAUUGAACCCAUUCUGCCUGGUACUGUUACACUUAGUUAGAGGCCGAAUUAGCCUUGAUUUAAAACAUGAAAGUUAUAGGGAAUGAUAUUUUAUAGUUUCCUACAAAAUUUCAGGCCAAUCGGAGUAACGUAGCCUAUGAAAAGACUGAAAUACCCCUGUUGCCCUAUUUCUGUCCGAACUUGGUAAUCAGCUUUGGUAAUUGGUUAAUUUGAUUGGGAAUACUACUGAUUUGGUUUUUGAGGUCUUCUUAAGAAAUAUAUCCUGGUAUCUUAGCUUUCGGAUGGCUUUGGAGUCACUUGAAUUGGACUUUGGUAGUCUGAAUUGUGAUUAUCUAACCAGAAUGCGGUUCGUUAACCUGUUUAUGCGGUUCUGGUUUAGUACAUUGAACUUUUGACUUAGUUGCACUACAAACUGGACUGAGUAGCCUUCUUCAACAUUGUAUCCCUUUCUGUUAGCUUCGAAACGGUGUAUAUUGUACAUCCAUCCGAUAAUCGUAGUGCCGGUUGUGGCCAAUACGCUUAAUGAUGGCAAAACUAUUUUUAGGUUUUAGAGCUUAACUUUCAUUUCCGGACUUUCCUUAGCUUACUUUAGUACUUAUACAUGCUAAUGAAGCCUUAUUUUCGGUAGUAUGUGGAAAUUGGUUUAUAACUUGUAAUCGUGUCUUAUUGUGCCUAUUUGAAUAUUUUAGGGCGUGACGGUGAUUAAAGACGCUCGUGGGAUGGAAGUUUAUGAAAUUUCACUUGCUUACUUGGUGAGUAUACUACUCACAUGUUUGUUUACAAUGUGGCUUUGUUAUAUUUGAACUUGAUACCUUGAAGGCUUAUUUGCACCGGUGAAACUGAUUAAAGUGAGGGUGUACUUGAUCGCCCUCACCCCUUUUGUAUUAUAUAUGACUGUUAACUGUGGUACUUGAAUAGUACAUGAAAUACUGGAUUUGGUGUCGUAUGGACGAGUAUCCAACGGCCAUUACUGUUACUACUGAGCUCAACCCCAUUGGUAGUCGAUUCGAUCGAGCCGGCGAGGGCUUGGUCGUGAAAAUUGAUGAGUCAUGGGGACUGUUAUAUGGAAUCUUGUAGUAUGAGACUCUCGAUUUCGGUAUACUCGAGUAUUACCAAAUUUAUACUGUUUGGAGUUCAGGCCCGGUAGGGGUAUGUUGGGUGGAAGGAAUGGAAGUAAAGUGGAGCCUACGGUUGGUUACUUUGUAAACAUUGACGGAGGGUCAAUGAAAUCCGAUCAAGUAUACAAGCGAGGAAAGGGGCUCUUGAGAGCCGUCCGUAUCCUUUUAACCAUAUUGUGAAUGUGUGAUCUUGGUUUACUGCAUUAUUGAACGUUUUAUGCGUAUAUGAAUUUGGUUGCUUGAGUGAUAGUAUCUCACUGGGCGUAAGCUCACUCUAUUCCUUUUGUUUUCCUUACAGGAAUAUAAACAUUUUUGGAAUGGCUUUUGAUAGUUGGUUGCCGAGUUGAGCUUGUUGUUACUAUCUUUUGAAUAGCUCCUUUUGGGCAAAACCCUAAGUGCAUUUUGAUCCAACCAAGUCGUUGAGUUGUAAUUUGCAAACCGUACAUGUACAAACUUGUUUGAUAACUUUUGUAUGCUACUUUGGAUUGUAAAUGCUUAAUUUCAAGGUGUAUAUGUUUGAUGGAUGUUUGGUGAGAUUCCGGCCGGAUUCUGACGUGUCAAUUACUAUUCAUGUCGGCUCCGAUUUUCAUUUUUUUUUUAUUUUGUGAUUUUGACUUGUUUAAGCACGCUUGUAUGUUCCGGAACGUUUAGACCGUAUUGAACUGUCCCGUUAGUCCUGGCGAGAGUUGGGCAGGCAGUCCGCUAACCCCUUUGGUUCGCCUUAGGUGAAGGUUGGGCUGUCACAUACAUAAAAUGAUUUCAAAUCCAAACUGUACCAGAUAUAUGCCAUCCAGCCACGUGAAUAAGUACUACAAUUCUUCCUUCGCCACGAGCCCUGUGGAGGGGAAUAAAAUAUUUUUGGGGUGAGUUAGAAGCUCAGUGAGUAACCAAUAAAAGCAGUCAUCAAAUCAGUUUCUCAAUAGUUCAUUUCAAUGAUGUCAUGAAUCAGUAAUCAAAUAUACGUUUAUUGCUCUGGUGAGUCAGUGAAAUCAUUGCACUUAAACACCCAACGCUCAAAUAGAUCACUUAACAUUAAAUAAUAAGGGGGAGCAACGUUGGUGCUCCAGAUCAUGUCAUGAACAAUAAACAGGGUGGAGACGUUGGUGUUCAGCACAAGACUCCCCAAGAACUCAUUAAAGCCAAAUCAUGUCAUGAACUCACAUGCAAGCACGCAUGAUAUGCAGUCGAGUAAAUAAUGCAAGAAACAUUUCAAAAGUACUUGGGAAAUAGUUGAGGGUCACUCACCUCCACGGCUCAGAAACCAUCCAUCAUAUACCAUUAUCUUGCCCGAGUCCAAGCCCUAAAUCACAAACUCAAAGCAAUCAUACAUUCUCAAAGUUCGGAUAGCAUUUCCCCAUAAAUGCUUCAUUUCCAACCUACAAUAUAUCACCAAUCACACAUAAGGUUAAUAAGCAAUAAAAUGCAUCCAAUUAGGCCACAAUAUCCCUCAAUCAAAGCUAAUUAGAAGCUUAAGAGCCACCAUUAGAAAAACCCCCAAUUAAACCCUAGAAACCGGAAUUCAUUCCCUCAAGCGUAAAUUUUCUGCAACGAUCGCAAUUAACGUAUAAAAGUUCUGUUUAACACCUUUCGGCACAAUAUCCAUAACUGAAGCUACCCUUAUCAGAUUGAAACGAAUCUUAUGGAGUUUCGAAACCAAGACAUAAACCUACAUUUCUUAUGAAGACCUCAAAAGCCAAAUCAUACAUUUUCAUGGUCAAAAAAUGAAAAACUCCACGAAAACAGAAAUCUGGGCGCGAAAUAGGGUUCAUGGGCAGUCAAGGAUAUUUUCAUCUUUUCACAGGCUACGUUGUUCCGAUUGAGCUGAAAUUUUGUAGGAAGCUAGCUAACACCAUUUUAUACAACUUUCAUAUUUUAACCUAAGCAUGAUUCGGCCUCUAACAUGCCCAAAUAAAUCCGGUUAGAACAGGCAAAUUCAAACCCUAAACCUGGAAUUUCGUAUCAAACCAGAAAUUUUCCGCAACCAACUUCAACUAACAUAUACAAGCUUCAUUUUACACCAUUACCAGCCAUCAUACCAUGAUCAAACCAUGAUCCACAUACAAAACAGAAAAAUAACAAGAAUAAAUCAAAAUUCAUCAAACCUUCACUUCCAACCAUAAACAAACCAUAAUCCCACCAUAUGUCAUCAUAUUAAACCACUAAAGCCACCAAUUGAACAUUAGAAAAGCUAAAGGGAACGAUUCUUAACAACUCACCUUGUAACCUCAAGACAACAAGCAACUUAGCACCUUUGUUUCUCAAACCACUUCACCACUCACCUUAAUCCUACCAAGAGAAAGGUUUUUAUGGAGCAAAUCAAAGUUUUAGCGGUUGGUUUGUGAGAUCAAGACAAGAAAUUGAAGAAAAAAGUUGGAGGUUUCUUUCUUUUCUCUCCCUAAGGAGUUCGGCCAAGAGAGAUUCAAAUGAAGAAAUAAAAUGGCCAAAAUUAGUUUUAAGAUGGUAAAAAUAUCUUGGUCAAAAGUCCAAGGGUGAAUUGAAUGGUGACACUUGUCACCUUUUAGCUUAAAGCUUAUCUUUUUGUCUCUCUAAUACAAAUCUCUUAGCACCUUGUAAAAUAAUGUCACUUAAUACAAACCUCCAACAAGUUGUCAAAAAUAUAUUGCAUUUACCGCACUAGCGGGUCCCACGUCCAUAAUACACUUCAAACUUAACGUGGACUAACUCGUAUCAAGGAAAUGAUUUGAAAAUUAUAUUCCUUUAUAAAAAUGUAUAGAAAAUUAAUAUCUUGAAGAAAGGUACAAAAUUAUAAACAAGGAAACAAAAUACAAGGAAACAAAAUAAUGUCUAGAAAAUAUAUAAAAAUUUUCGGGUUCUCACACUCAUUCUUUCGGGGCGUCACAAAUAGUCCGUUGAACAGAGGGUUUUGGGGCCCAGUUCAGCCGAUGCGGUAAAGUACACACACGGCUUACAGUCAUACACACUUACAAUAACACUUGAUCAAUUAGCAACCUUCAACCUCAAACUAAGUCGAGUGCGAUAAAGUACACACCCGACUUAGAAGGUGAGGGACAAUUGACAUACACUUUACAAUAAAUCACUAGCAAUAUUCCAUAAUAAGCACAUUUAUCAUAUAAUUUCAUUUAAGCAAACAUAAACAGUUAAACACAUUAAUUCGGAAACACUCACCAAAUAUCCAAAUAAAUUACUCUCGAGCCUCGGAUUUGUUUCCUGGCUCACAGCUAUUCCCUGAGACAAUUUAUAACUCUAAAGUAAAUAUACAAUUCAUAGAUCACCAUUUAUCAUUUAUUACCUUUUAUGAUUUAAACUAUUAAAGUCAAGUUUUGGCUUUAAAAUACAAAAUAUAACAUAUUUUAUAUUUAUUUUACAUUUUUUUUCAAAAUUUAUUAAUUUUAUCAUUUCAAACCAAGAAUUAUACAUUUUUCCCAAGUGUGUAUCUUUAUAUAAUAUUUAAAUCAGGAAUAUAUCUUUCUCAAUUCAAUGUUCAUUAAUUAUGGCUUAUAGACACUCCAUUUGUUCCCUUUUAAAUCAACUAAACUCUAAGUUGUUUGUAAAUUAAGUUUUUUAUUCCACCACACCAGCCCCUCAAGUUCUAAAGUCUUUAAAAUAUUCAUGAAGACAAUGUUAAGUGAUUAGCAGCCGUUUGAUGUAUAUAACUACAACAAAUUACUUUGGAGUUUCCAAAACAUCAUGGAAGGCUUAACUAAUUACCAUUUCAGCUAGCAACAAUAUUCCAGCAAUAUUACUUCGGAUUUUCAACAAAACUCCAUUCUUUCACUUGCUUACAGCUCUAAGCACUAAAUGUACAUUCGGUACAGUUUAAUCCAAGACAAAUAACACCUAGUUUCAACAACUUAUUCGAUCAAAUGUCAUUCUCAAAAUCUGUCAUCAUCAUUUGCAUUAGUCGUUAGCUCUUCCAACAGUAUGGCAGCUUAAAUUUGCAGCCUUUACUCCCUAAUUGCUUCGGUUAACUCUAACUUAUGGUGCCAAACACGUUUGCUAAUCACAGAGCAGUUUUAGCUAUCAUCUGUGCAAGUUUAUGGUGUUAGAAAUUGGAGGAAAUGCUGUUCCAGAAUUUAUUUCCCUCCCUCUCAACAUCACAGCAGGUUGCAUCAGCUUCCUUUUACCAAGUUUAGCUAGACUUCCUGAAAUUUUCUGACUUCCUAAGGCUCCUAUCUGUUCGGUCAAAGGUUUAACAAAUUUUCCAUGUAUUCAUUAAUAAGAGUUCCAGAAUCAGCAACAACAAUUGCACAGCCUGCUUCAUUCCCUCGGCCAACUACCUGCAAUCAGUUAAGUGUAUUUGUCCUGUUAUGUUCAUUCUAGUUUCUACUUGUUUCAGGCUUGCUCGUUGAAGUUUAAGGUCUGUAUGAUAUGUUACAACUUACUACACAGGCCUAGAAACUAAGGGUUGCAGGAAACAACUAGAAUCUCUUAUCUGUUCUGCUCAAUCAAAACCAACAGGUUUUAAAAGGUAUUGAUUUUGCAGCUGGUGCUUCCUUUUUUAUUCUCCCUCAGUUUAUAUCCUAGCUAAACUUAUAGAAUGUAUUGAUUUAACUACAAGUUAUCCUAAGCCAAACAUGACAGUUUAUGGUCAGGAUUCAAAAGGAAACUGGAUUAUGUCUUAGGUCGGCGCAUGGCUGCAAAUUCUGAUGCACAGCAACCUGCAUCAGGUUUCUUUCCUCAGUCGAAGCUCAGUUUCUCUACUCAAACACUACUUGCAGCUUAUUCAUUCAUUCAUUUUUACCGAAUCAGCAUGAGGUUAUUGCAGAUUCUUAACAUUAUCAUCCCAAGAAAUAUUAAGAACAGUUACAAGUUCCAGUUUCUGCAAUUUCCCUUUUCUUGCAGUUUUACUGUCGCGCCCCACUUUUCGAAUCGUAGUGAAUUGUGUUGUGAUGUGUGUGUGAAGUGUGGUGUGAACGUGUGCAAAAUGAAAAGUAAAAGGCCAUGGGACUUAGAAUGCGACGAUUUGGCCAAGUGAAGUUCAAAAGGGUUUUUUGUAUAAAAAAUGGAGUCGCCACUUGGUAUAGAGUUAGGGUGUACCAAGUCACCCAAAAAUGAUUUUGUUUUUGAAUAAAAAGUAAAUAAACCCUUUUUUGAGAACUUUUGGGUCUGCGUAACCAAAAGAGGGAUCGGGGGUCACAUUUGACGAAGGGGAAGGCAAGGAUAAAAAUCCAAGGCACCCCUUCGACCUAGCCAAGGCUAGUUGCGUGACUUAAGCCAAUUUUCCUAAUUUUCUACCCAAUGUAUGUUCGCACGUUGGAUAUGACUAUAUGAAUGCAAAACGGAAAGAAAAAUGCAAUCCUAAAUUCUACGAUGUCUCUCGUGAGGCUUUUGGUCCCAAACCACAUGAAUUGUGGCGGCCAACAAAGGAAAACCUCAUAGAGGUCGAUUAAUGCAAAUGUGUGCAAGUGUGAAAGUGUAUGAAAGAUGCAAGACAUGUAAGUGCAAGUGUGCGAAAUUUGUAUAAAGGUGCUUGUGUGAAAUUGUAUAAAGUUCAAAUGUUUUUCGUGUGCAAGUGUAUAAAAAUAAAAUAAUAGAUAUAUAAGGUAAAGUGGAAUUUCAUUUGUGAGGUGAAAAUAAGCAAGUGAUAGGUAAAAUGUAGUAAAAUAAGUACGGUCUGAGAAAUGUGAAAAAAUGUGGUUAAGAGAGUAUGUAGGUGAUAAAAAUUAGAGUAUGACCCUAGAGGAAUGCAACAAGUCGGGUACGGGGGUUGACUCCUAACUUUUCGACUUUAUUUUCCCUUUGAUUAGAAGGCAAAACUAGCGUGCUAAGGCUAUCGAGUAGCCACACUCGCUCGUUUCCCUUAUCAGAAGGGGACUUUCACGCAAAUGAACCCUAACUAGCAUGAGAUGCAAGUCCUAAAGUGAGGGGAAAGGGGUUCGAGGAGCAUGCCAAGUGAUAAAACUAAGAAAAAUGCAUGAUAUGUGGUGAACAAGCAAAUGAUAUGCUAAUGAGGGGAAAUCCCUAAGGGUCUAGCGUUGGACUAGCCCAUUCUAUGAAUUCCGACUAGCGUUGGACUAGCGGAAACGUACAUUCAUCCAUUCCAUUCAUUCAUGGCUAUGAAAGCAAGUAGACAUGCUAAAAUACUCGUAAACACAUAGCACAUAGCAUUUAGCAUGCUCGACUAGAUGCAAGAGCCUAAUAAAGCAAUUAAACAUGUAGCAACAAAAACAAGCAACCAAAGGGAAGGGAAAGUGGACCAGAUGCUCUCCGAGCCCUAUCUAUUACAAGCCAAGAGGUGUACACAUACCCCAUAAAAGCAUAAAGGGGAAGGGGAAAUGGACAAGAGGCUCUCCGAGCCCUAUCUAUUACAAGCCAAGAGGUGUACACAUACCCCAUGAAAACUUAAAUAAAAGUAAAAGUAAGUAAAUGCACGCAAGGAGAUAAGGAAAGCGAAGUAGACAGGCAUAUUCACAUAACACGUAGGAGCACGUAAGGUCAAAUGUAGUGCAAAUGAGGGAUAGAGUGUACCUCCCUUGAGUUGACGCCCCAAUGAAGUGAAAUUAUUCAAUUACCCUUCAAAAUAAUAAAAAGGUCAAGGCACCACUUUAUUUAAGAAAAGUUAAAAGAAAUGGGCAAAACAAGGCUUACUUAGUCAUAAAGUCCCUAAAGUCAUAACUUAAGUGCAAUUUAAACUAAGCAUGGUAGUUAAUUGAAGCAAACAAGCAAUGAAGUUGCAAAAAUUAAAAUUAUCAAGGACCAAUUUGAUGAAAUUCUUUAAUUGAUUGGGUCCUAGUGGAACAAGGAGAGACUUGGGGGCCAAAGUGUAAAAUCUGGAGAUUAUUCAUGCAAAUGCAUGCAAACCAUCGUGAAAGAACAUUCUUCAACAAAGCAAACGAAAUUGCUGCACCUUUGUUCCACUUUCAAACACUAAACCCGGAUUUGAUCUCAUACCUUAACCCAAGGCUUUCUUGAUUCAACAUCAAAUUUUGAACCAAACAACACAAAACAUGAACUUGACAUCCGAACUAGCAAAAUCAUAGGAGGAAAUCAUGCAAACAUAGAAAAAACUUCAAGCAAGAAUGCAUGAAGAAGCUUUCUGCCGGCGAAAGUUUGAUGCCUCUCCAUUUACAAAUGCAUAUUUAUGGUCCGAAAGCAUGGCUCCAAUCUAGACAUCUUUACCAGAAAUCAAAAUCCUAAACUAAACAACCAAAAACCAAUGUUUACUUUACUGAAAACAACAAGGAAAACUGAACAUAGAAUCAGUAAAAACUUGAAGCAGUGAAUACUUAGCAAAGUUGGUGCUAUGGCCUGUUAUUAUGCCAGGUUUUGCUGCAACAAAAUGCAGCAAACGCACACAGUGGCAUCACUUUCCAACAACCCACAGAUUUGAAGACAAAUUUAGCUAACAAAACUUUAGUCAUCAGCAAAAAAAACAACUCUGCCAACAUUGCUGCAAUAAAAACAGAACUUAAGACCUGUUGCAGCAAACUUUCAUGCACUCGAGAUGUCGAUAAACGUUUCAAACUUAAAACCAACCUCAAAUUCCUACCCAAAUUGUAAUUCCAAAUACUCCCUCACGCAUACAAAAUCACACACCGAAUGCAAAACUAACGGCAGCUAUCAUGCCAAUGGGUUGUUAUGUAACAGCUUUAGAAGCAGAGCUGACAACUUCAUGGGUAGCAAAACUGUAGCACAGCAAAUAAAUAAAAAAACUCUCCAGCUAACAUAGGAAUUCACGGUCUUGGGCAACAAGGGAGGAGACUUCAAGGCACAAGGGACAGAUUUAAAUCAUUACAAGAAGAAAACAAGCAAGGGAACAAACGAGAAUGUGAGCCGACAGUUAACAAAAAAAUGUCUGCAGCAUUUGAGUUUCCUUUUGCUGCAAUUCUUUGCUAUCCAAACACUACUAACAGCUCAACUAACAACAACUAGGAGCAAAGUAACAAGUUCACAAGCAUGUUUUCCAUUUUUCACCAUACAAAUUUAGGUUUAGAUACCAGAAGUUCAUGCAAUUACAGGGAAUCAACAUUCUGCAAUUUUUAGUUCUUUCUUCAAACUUCAUCAUUCAACCAGGACAUCUAUAUGAAACAAAUCAAGCGAGCCCUAUUGAUGUCCUUAACCAAACCCAGAUGCUAUCCCCUCAAAACCCACGGCAGACAUGCUCUGAGAGCUUAAACAGAACCGAGAAUUUUUAAAAGAAAAGGACAGCUUACCUGCGCCUGCUUCGUGAAAUUAUUUUCAGGCAGUGGUGGGAAGUUCUAGUGAUGGUAGCGGACUGGUGGUGGCUUUUCUUCCUCCUUGAUGUGGUGGUCCUUGGAGGACCUCUUGGGAGGCAGUUGACCGCUCGUUGGUCACGCUAGAGAAGAAAAGGUGGCUGCUGUCUGGUGACCUCGAUGGAAGUUGCGUGCGGUGGUGGCGAUGACAGAACUUGGAGGUGGUCAUUUGUAGGCGGUGGUUAUGGAGGUUUGUGGUGGCUUGGGCUGAUAGCAUGAAAAGGAGUCUGGGCAGGCAACGGAUGGAGUUGAGAUGGCUGCUGUGGUGGUUGCAAGUUUUUCUCCUCGCCGAUCAUUGAAACCGAAACCUCCCCCCCCCCUCUGUUUUCUUUUCUGCGUUUUUUCCUCUUGCCCAGCCACCAGCUAGCUUCCCUUUGCUAUUUUCUCUUUUUCCCUUUCCCGUUCAACUCUCCGUUUCUAAACCCUCACAGCCAUCAACUCUACUCAGUCCUUCCUUUGCUUCUUUUCCCUCUUACUUCACAAAGCUUCUGGCUCACUUCCUGCCGUCACCAUCAAUCUUUCCUCUCUUUUCACUCUCGGCUCUUUUUCUUUCUUUUCCUUUUUGCUUGUGUUUCUAUCCCCCGUUGGUUCCCCUUAAAACCUCUGUUGCGGCUACCUUUCUUUUUGCUAUAUAUCAGACCCCCAAACCCUAAAAACCUCUAGUCCUUUUCCUGUAUUUGCAGCUUUGGGAGCCGUCCCAGAUUUCCUUUGCAAGCUGCGUAAAACGCAGCUUGCUGCCGCGUAUCAUUUUUUUUUUUUUUUUUUGAACUUAAUAACUUAAUAAAUACAGAAAUGAUAUAAAUAAUAAUAAUAAUAACAAAUUGCCAAAACCAGGUAAUAAUAAUAAUAAUAAUAAUGAAAAUAAUUUAAAAACUAAACAACUAAAAACAACAAAAAUGGCCACUUUUCCAUCUUUUUGUUUCAUUUUUCAUUUUUCAUCAUUUUCUUUUUCUCAAAAUAACUUAAUAAAAAUAACUAAAGUGCAAAAAGGUUGCAUUUAAAGAAAUAAAUAUAUUUUUGUGAACAAAUUUCCUUUUUCCCUUUUUUUUAUUUUCAUUUUCAUUUUUCUUUCAAGAAAGCAUUGAAUAAAAACAAAAUGACUAAAACAUAUUUUUUUGAAUGCUUUUCUUUUUCUCUUUUUUCUUUUUCAACAAAUUCUAUGAUAAAACUUAAAAAUAAAAAUAAAACUGGAAACUAAAAACUAAAAAUGAACACGACAAAUAAAAACUAAAAAAUGAAAUUACACCAAAAAUUUGGUGUCUACAGUUUGCCCCUCUUUGUCUGAGUUUUGAAAAAAUUUGAGACAAAGAAGUAGACACCAAAUACUUACCAGUGUUAUUCGGUUGCAAAAAUGAUCUGAACGGACAGGAAUUCUAAAAUGGGACUGACCCGAACAUGAAUUUAAAAUUGGGGAUAGACCCACGGGAUAGACCCGGACAGAAAUGUAAAAUUGGGAUAGACCCACGGGAUAGACCCGGACAGAAAUUUAAAAUUGGGAUAGACCCACGGGAUAGACCCGGACAGAAAUGAAAUUGAUAGAAAUUGGGAUAGACCCACGGGAUAGACCCGGACAGAAAUUUAAAAUUGGGAUAGACCCACGGGAUAGACCCGGACAGAAAUGUAAAAUUGGGAUAGACCCUCUAAUCCACGGGAUAGACCCGGACAGAAAUGUAAAAUUGGGAUAGACCCACGGGAUAGACCCGGACAGAAAUGUAAAAUUGGGAUAGACCCACGGGAUAGACCCGGACAGAAAUGUAAAAUUGGGAUAGACCCACGGGAUAGACCCGGACAGAAAUGUAAAUUUGGGAUAGACCCACGAAAUUUAAAUUGGAUUUGAUCUGUCAAGAUAUAAGAAAUUAAAUUUUGAUUUUCCAAGAAACAAAAAUUUGAACUUGAUUUUCGAUUUUUGACUUUUGAAUUUUUCUGAUUUUCCGAGAGAAUCUUUUUUCCAAAAAUAAUUUGCCCCAGUGUAGGGCCCUUUUCCCUUCUUUCUUCUCUUUCUUCGGCAUCGGCCUUCUACAUCGCCAGAUGCUUUUCGUCGACUUCAACUGUGAAUACCUGCACAGGGCUUACGUGCACUCAAAUGAGCGUGACUGAUUUGAAAAAAUGUAUUAUUUUGAUUCUUGGACGAAAUCCUCAAUUGGACUACAAAAAUAUUUGCCCCUGUGUGGGCUUAUUUUGUGAAAUUUUGCAAAUAAAAAUUUUGCCCCAGUUUGGGCCCAUUUGAUUGCAAAAAUUGGUUUAGAUGAUUUCCCAUUUACUUGAACAAAGAAAAACCGCACUUUCUAAAAUUUAGAAAAGAAUGCACAUACAACAAUGUGAAGAAACUUUAAUCGUCAAGUUUGAACUCAUGCAGAAAUUUCAUGAUGAAUUCCUCGAAAUAACACCAAAUUUAAGAAGAAGAUUUCUUCCUUACUUUUAGCAUUGGUGCUUAGGGUAAUGGGUCACCAUUUCUGGUUGACUCAUCUUUUCAGGACCAAUCAGGUGACUUUAUUUUUGAAAUGGCUAAGGAAAUGGGAGAUAAGAAUCUGUCUCAUUUUUGUGCCCCAGUUGUAUGUAAUCCAUUCAAUGUCACAUCUUAGUGAAAGCAAAGAGUUUGUCACCCUUAUUUCAUAAGAAAACUUAGUCAACAUACAAGCUUUCUAGGCUUGUAACGUAUGGACAGAAGUGAUAGCUAAACAUGUGGAAACGGGUUAUACCCUUAUGAUGGAUUUUUAUGAGCAUAAUCCUCACUUUGGAUUGUCAUGAAUGAAUAAGUCAACGAUGGACUUUAUUAGCUUGUAAUUUGGCUUGAGAACGAUAGCUAAAGAAAUAAUUUCCAAAGGACAUUGCACCGAAGAUCGCAUUUCAACAUUGCCCCCAUCUGGACUCCAGAUUCUUGGACUUUGUUUGACUUUUUAUCAUCACCCAACAGGGUCUUUCAGCAUCAAAUAUUUUGCAUCUUUCUUUUGCAUUCAUUUCGCUCGUUUUUCUCUUCUUUUUCCCCCUUUUCAAAAAUACCCUCGCGGGGUUUCACAUGAAGAGCAGUGUCAACCUCACACCUAAUCAAUUCAGAAAUACAGCUAAAAUUUUCGACAUCAGAGAUUUCCUUGACAAGGCCAGUGCAAAGAACAGAAGUCAGGACUUUCGGCUUUGUAAUGGGGUCAGGUGGGGUGCUUAGAAAAGUUAAGGCUUGAAAACGGAUUUCAAAAGUGAUUUGAAGAAUCUGAGAUCGCAUUGUUGCGCCAAAUCCUAUUUUAGGGUAAGAUCAGAAUUUGCCUCAGUUUUUGCUCAAUUGAGGCUUUUCACUUUCAUUUCCUUUUUUCUUUUGACUUUUCGGCUUUUUGCCAUUCUUUCGAACUUUCACAAAAUUUUGCCCCAGUUUAUUUUUGAACUGAGGUUCUCUUUUUUCUUUUGCUUUUGAUUUUGUUGCUUUUCACUUUUCACCUUUUGAAAUUUUUCCUUUUUCAACUCAAACUUGCCCCAGUGUGGGGUUUGCGAUUCUCAGGGGUUUUGCCAAAUGAAGUAUUUUAUUCUGGAGGCUCAAAAGGGAUAACUAGGGAUAGAACGUUUGAUUGGAAAAGAAGAUGGCCUGACUUUUAUUCCGUUCCUUACAAUAACUCUGAAAGGAAACUUUCAUUAAUGCGAAAUUUCUGGCAUGUAUCUGAAUUAACUGACUGAGGAAGACCCUUGUUCAUCCAUAUUUGUGAAACAUGGGCGAUCCAGGCGGACAAAACUCUUUUCUCUUUUUCCUUUUUUUUAAAAUUGGAACCCAAGUGGAAUCAAAUUUCCCCAAUUUGCGGCUCCCUCCUUAUUCUAGCAUUUUUGCUUUUCCUCUUUUCUUUUUCUUUUUCAAAAUUCCCCAAUCUCCUUCCCCAAUGUGGGGUACGAUCACGAGUGCAUUCGAAAUGAACCACCAAUUUGAGCUCAAAUGAGGAUGCAAGGGAUAAAUGGUGUUUAGGUUGUAGAAACGACGGCCAAAGUAUCAUUCUUACACCUCAUGACAACCAAAGUACCGAAAUGGUCAUUAAGAAUCCAUUCCCCUUUUGAAAAUCUUCCCAAUGUAGGGUAGUGAUCGUUAAAGCCCUUAUUUGAAACGAAAUUAUUCUUUUAAAGGCUCAAAUGGGAGAGCAAAUGAUAAAAAUCUGUAUAGGUAGUGAAACGAAUGCUUGAAGUAUCAUUCCAAAUUUUCCAAACAAAUAAGAAUAAUGCACAUUUUUGCUUUCACUUAGAUGUGAUUGAAUCGGAUUAGACACCGCGGACAUUUUCAAGCAAAAGUUGCCCGAAUUUGCAAUUUAUCAAUCAAUGCGACUGAUUUUAUUCUGGGGUUAAGUGAAGGAGAAAAGGUAUCUCAUGGGCCUUCUGAGUGACCUCUUUCAAUUUGGAGCACUCUUAUUAUGUAGCUCGGAUCACCAAUCUGGUGUACACAAGGGUUUUAGAAAGCAUAUACUUGUGAAUUUUCAGGCCGGAGGUUGAGGAAAACUCGAUUUGGUCUUAUUUCUCAAAAUUCACCAUGAAAUCUCUUAAUGAGCUCAAUAAAGAAUGAAAUGUACAUGAAUAUACACAAAACAAUAAUUGUCCAAAAAUUUUAUUGCUGAAAAAGUUUGAAACAAAAUUUCUCGUUCAAUUAUGAUACAAAUGGGAAUAGAAAACUUCUAAAGAGCUCCACAUAUAUAUCAUUUUUGUCUUCUUUUCUUUUGACACAAAAAUAUAUUAACAAGUCAAAUAUACAGAAUCUUCCUUGAAAGCAAUUAUGAAAUCUCUUAGAAGCUCUUAACCUAGAGCUUUCAGAUGGAUUUUUAUGUUCCCAUUGUUGGAUCUGCCCAAGAAUCAAAUAAUACUUUCCAAACUUUAUCGGAUCAAAAAUUUUUAUCCAAUAUAGGGAAAUAUUUUCAUCUUAUUGCAACAUUUUUUAUGAAUGCAGGGGAGGGGGGAAACAAAAGAAAAAUACCCCGAGUUAGUGAACAAGAAUAUAAAAUCGGUAUGCAUGUCCUAUGGGGGAACCCUUUUAUGCCAAGGGUAGGCCUAACAUGAAAAUGCAAUCCUCCAGAGCAGGCACUAUACAAUACCUGAUGGAUCCAAUCAGCUCAUGGAGUGAAAAAUAAUUUUGAAAGAAUUUGGUCAAUUGGGGUGACGAGAGAUUUGUCAAAAUGAGGACAACGUCCGAAUAGAUUGAUCACCUUUGAUUUGCAAAACGCAUGGGUUUGACCUUGACGAACUCCUAUCGAAGAAAUUGGAAUUCGUUGAUAAAAUUUCUCAGUGAAUUACGGGUCAAAAACCCUAAUUGAUCAAGUGAUUGGAUGCAAUGGACGGUUUUCUUCAAAAUUGACUAGAUUUCCCAAUUUGGAAUUCGACAUUGAAAUCCUAAUUGGUCAAAUGAAAUUGACAAUUUAUUGAAAAUCGACCGGAUUACCCUAAAAUGAAUUGAAUGAAAUUUAUCCAAAAUUAAUCAGAUCACCCUAAAAAGGGUAAAUUGAUCAAAUAGAUUGAAUGAAAACUUGAUUUAUUCGAAAUCGGCUCGGUUACCCUAAAAAUGGGUAAAUUGGUCAAAUGAACGAAAUUGAAUUAGGGAUUUAUUCAAAAAUCGGCCGAAUGACCCUAAAAAGGGUAAAUUGGUCAAAUGAAUUGACGAUUUAUUCAAAAUCGACGGAAUGACCCUAACAAGGGUAAAUUGGUCAAAUGAAUUGAUGAUUUAUUGAAUGAAUUGGCCAAAUGGACUGGUUGAAAUGUCCAGCCAUUGGUUACUUCAAAAUUAUUGAGGUGCAUUAGUCUAUGACCUUCUAAAAAUCAAAUUUUGGCCUCAAUUUAUUUAUCGUCUCAAUAGAAGGAAUCAUUUGUGAAUUUUCUUCGAAUUAAUGUCCUUUUACGCAAGGGAAUUUUACCAAUUUUUUAUGCAAUGGCCAAAAAGUGAUUAUUAGAUGCUCAUAUUCCAAAGAUCACUCUAUGAAAAUGAUCGGAUCUUACCUUACCUUGUGCACUACCCCUUUGGAUGGUACAUGAAAUAUAAACGUGCAAGUCUCAUUGGAUUAAGUAUCCGAGACACAAGGUGGCUUAUUCCUAAACACGGGAUUUCCCUAUGUGGCAUUCCCUUUCUAUGGUUAAUGCAUGAUGCCAGUUUAUUAAAGCAAUGUAAAUAUGCAAUUUGGAAUGAAAACAUGAUCUAAAAGGACCUUUUAUACGCCAAGGUAGGCCUAGAAUGAUAUGCAAUUACUAAUCUAUGAAUGUAAUAUACCAAAAUAUUUAAACGUGCAAUAACCUAUCUAUAAGGGUAGGUUCUAAAAGGAGGUCGUACCAGACCUCUUAUUUGCUAAGAGUUUGUGAAUGCAAUGGGGACACAAAACCAAGAAAAGUUAGCUCAGUCCGAUAAAUACACAUAACACAUUGUAGCUACGAAAUCAACACAAGGAAAUAAAGCAAUGAAAAGAAGAAAGGGGUUGGACCCCUCCCCUCGUGAAUAGUGUCCCUAAUAGGGUAAGGUCAACUCUACCCUAGGCAAGCUAAAAUGGAUGCAUGAGGUUAGGGUUCACUAAUGCACCUAGACUCGAUAAGUCAUAGGUCCCCGAGCCUUCAGACUUGGAAACCAAGGGUCAUCACUCCCAAGGUUCCUUGUCGGUGGCUCGAGCGAUUCCCCAGACGUUGCUACGCACACGUCGUGUUACGGCUACCCGUCUGGGCGAAUCUAAAAAAAAUCCUCAACCUUCGACUAAAAACUAAUAGGUUAUCAACCUAAAGUUUAAAGCGGAAGAUCGAGUGACCCCUCGGAUCAUGCUACGCACACGUCGUGAUACGAUCACAUGUCCAAGUGGGUCGCCUAAAAUCCUAAUAGGGUUGAGUGGCGUGACAAGCCACUAAAAGAAAAAUAAUGAGGGGAAAAAAUAAUUAAAGCGUAUGCGCGUAUGCUAGUGCUCGUUUGGAGGGGAGGGAUCAAGAACCAACGCGAGGCUCUAGGGUACAUCCCCCACCCAAAUGCAAUGCAAAGCGCGAGAUAAAACGAGUAAAAUAUACAUCCAAACAACCAAUCAUACAUACGUGAGUGGGGAGUAGUUUGGUACGUGCGCGAGGCAAAAAGUCCUAAAAAGGAAAAAUGCAACCCUAAUAUCCAAAUGCUAUGCAUAAAAAGGGUAGAAAAGGGAAAAGAAUGGCCAAAUCAAAUGCUUGGACCCACUUAGGAAGUCCCCAGUGGAGUCGCCAACUGUCGCGCCCCACUUUUCGAAUCGUAGUGAAUUGUGUUGUGAUGUGUGUGUGAAGUGUGGUGUGAACGUGUGCAAAAUGAAAAGUAAAAGGCCAUGGGACUUAGAAUGCGACGAUUUGGCCAAGUGAAGUUCAAAAGGGUUUUUUGUAUAAAAAAUGGAGUCGCCACUUGGUAUAGAGUUAGGGUGUACCAAGUCACCCAAAAAUGAUUUUGUUUUUGAAUAAAAAGUAAAUAAACCCUUUUUUGAGAACUUUUGGGUCUGCGUAACCAAAAGAGGGAUCGGGGGUCACAUUUGACGAAGGGGAAGGCAAGGAUAAAAAUCCAAGGCACCCCUUCGACCUAGCCAAGGCUAGUUGCGUGACUUAAGCCAAUUUUCCUAAUUUUCUACCCAAUGUAUGUUCGCACGUUGGAUAUGACUAUAUGAAUGCAAAACGGAAAGAAAAAUGCAAUCCUAAAUUCUACGAUGUCUCUCGUGAGGCUUUUGGUCCCAAACCACAUGAAUUGUGGCGGCCAACAAAGGAAAACCUCAUAGAGGUCGAUUAAUGCAAAUGUGUGCAAGUGUGAAAGUGUAUGAAAGAUGCAAGACAUGUAAGUGCAAGUGUGCGAAAUUGUAUAAAGGUGCUUGUGUGAAAUUGUAUAAAGUUCAAAUGUUUUUCGUGUGCAAGUGUAUAAAAAUAAAAUAAUAGAUAUAUAAGGUAAAGUGGAAUUUCAUUUGUGAGGUGAAAAUAAGCAAGUGAUAGGUAAAAUGUAGUAAAAUAAGUACGGUCUGAGAAAUGUGAAAAAAUGUGGUUAAGAGAGUAUGUAGGUGAUAAAAAUUAGAGUAUGACCCUAGAGGAAUGCAACAAGUCGGGUACGGGGGUUGACUCCUAACUUUUCGACUUUAUUUUCCCUUUGAUUAGAAGGCAAAACUAGCGUGCUAAGGCUAUCGAGUAGCCACACUCGCUCGUUUCCCUUAUCAGAAGGGGACUUUCACGCAAAUGAACCCUAACUAGCAUGAGAUGCAAGUCCUAAAGUGAGGGGAAAGGGGUUCGAGGAGCAUGCCAAGUGAUAAAACUAAGAAAAAUGCAUGAUAUGUGGUGAACAAGCAAAUGAUAUGCUAAUGAGGGGAAAUCCCUAAGGGUCUAGCGUUGGACUAGCCCAUUCUAUGAAUUCCGACUAGCGUUGGACUAGCGGAAACGUACAUUCAUCCAUUCCAUUCAUUCAUGGCUAUGAAAGCAAGUAGACAUGCUAAAAUACUCGUAAACACAUAGCACAUAGCAUUUAGCAUGCUCGACUAGAUGCAAGAGCCUAAUAAAGCAAUUAAACAUGUAGCAACAAAAACAAGCAACCAAAGGGAAGGGAAAGUGGACCAGAUGCUCUCCGAGCCCUAUCUAUUACAAGCCAAGAGGUGUACACAUACCCCAUAAAAGCAUAAAGGGGAAGGGGAAAUGGACAAGAGGCUCUCCGAGCCCUAUCUAUUACAAGCCAAGAGGUGUACACAUACCCCAUGAAAACUUAAAUAAAAGUAAAAGUAAGUAAAUGCACGCAAGGAGAUAAGGAAAGCGAAGUAGACAGGCAUAUUCACAUAACACGUAGGAGCACGUAAGGUCAAAUGUAGUGCAAAUGAGGGAUAGAGUGUACCUCCCUUGAGUUGACGCCCCAAUGAAGUGAAAUUAUUCAAUUACCCUUCAAAAUAAUAAAAAGGUCAAGGCACCACUUUAUUUAAGAAAAGUUAAAAGAAAUGGGCAAAACAAGGCUUACUUAGUCAUAAAGUCCCUAAAGUCAUAACUUAAGUGCAAUUUAAACUAAGCAUGGUAGUUAAUUGAAGCAAACAAGCAAUGAAGUUGCAAAAAUUAAAAUUAUCAAGGACCAAUUUGAUGAAAUUCUUUAAUUGAUUGGGUCCUAGUGGAACAAGGAGAGACUUGGGGGCCAAAGUGUAAAAUCUGGAGAUUAUUCAUGCAAAUGCAUGCAAACCAUCGUGAAAGAACAUUCUUCAACAAAGCAAACGAAAUUGCUGCACCUUUGUUCCACUUUCAAACACUAAACCCGGAUUUGAUCUCAUACCUUAACCCAAGGCUUUCUUGAUUCAACAUCAAAUUUUGAACCAAACAACACAAAACAUGAACUUGACAUCCGAACUAGCAAAAUCAUAGGAGGAAAUCAUGCAAACAUAGAAAAAACUUCAAGCAAGAAUGCAUGAAGAAGCUUUCUGCCGGCGAAAGUUUGAUGCCUCUCCAUUUACAAAUGCAUAUUUAUGGUCCGAAAGCAUGGCUCCAAUCUAGACAUCUUUACCAGAAAUCAAAAUCCUAAACUAAACAACCAAAAACCAAUGUUUACUUUACUGAAAACAACAAGGAAAACUGAACAUAGAAUCAGUAAAAACUUGAAGCAGUGAAUACUUAGCAAAGUUGGUGCUAUGGCCUGUUAUUAUGCCAGGUUUUGCUGCAACAAAAUGCAGCAAACGCACACAGUGGCAUCACUUUCCAACAACCCACAGAUUUGAAGACAAAUUUAGCUAACAAAACUUUAGUCAUCAGCAAAAAAAACAACUCUGCCAACAUUGCUGCAAUAAAAACAGAACUUAAGACCUGUUGCAGCAAACUUUCAUGCACUCGAGAUGUCGAUAAACGUUUCAAACUUAAAACCAACCUCAAAUUCCUACCCAAAUUGUAAUUCCAAAUACUCCCUCACGCAUACAAAAUCACACACCGAAUGCAAAACUAACGGCAGCUAUCAUGCCAAUGGGUUGUUAUGUAACAGCUUUAGAAGCAGAGCUGACAACUUCAUGGGCAGCAAAACUGUAGCACAGCAAAUAAAUAAAAAAACUCUCCAGCUAACAUAGGAAUUCACGGUCUUGGGCAACAAGGGAGGAGACUUCAAGGCACAAGGGACAGAUUUAAAUCAUUACAAGAAGAAAACAAGCAAGGGAACAAACGAGAAUGUGAGCCGACAGUUAACAAAAAAAUGUCUGCAGCAUUUGAGUUUCCUUUUGCUGCAAUUCUUUGCUAUCCAAACACUACUAACAGCUCAACUAACAACAACUAGGAGCAAAGUAACAAGUUCACAAGCAUGUUUUCCAUUUUUCACCAUACAAAUUUAGGUUUAGAUACCAGAAGUUCAUGCAAUUACAGGGAAUCAACAUUCUGCAAUUUUUAGUUCUUUCUUCAAACUUCAUCAUUCAACCAGGACAUCUAUAUGAAACAAAUCAAGCGAGCCCUAUUGAUGUCCUUAACCAAACCCAGAUGCUAUCCCCUCAAAACCCACGGCAGACAUGCUCUGAGAGCUUAAACAGAACCGAGAAUUUUUAAAAGAAAAGGACAGCUUACCUGCGCCUGCUUCGUGAAAUUAUUUUCAGGCAGUGGUGGGAAGUUCUAGUGAUGGUAGCGGACUGGUGGUGGCUUUUCUUCCUCCUUGAUGUGGUGGUCCUUGGAGGACCUCUUGGGAGGCAGUUGACCGCUCGUUGGUCACGCUAGAGAAGAAAAGGUGGCUGCUGUCUGGUGACCUCGAUGGAAGUUGCGUGCGGUGGUGGCGAUGACAGAACUUGGAGGUGGUCAUUUGUAGGCGGUGGUUAUGGAGGUUUGUGGUGGCUUGGGCUGAUAGCAUGAAAAGGAGUCUGGGCAGGCAACGGAUGGAGUUGAGAUGGCUGCUGUGGUGGUUGCAAGUUUUUCUCCUCGCCGAUCAUUGAAACCGAAACCUCCCCCCCCCCUCUGUUUUCUUUUCUGCGUUUUUUCCUCUUGCCCAGCCACCAGCUAGCUUCCCUUUGCUAUUUUCUCUUUUUCCCUUUCCCGUUCAACUCUCCGUUUCUAAACCCUCACAGCCAUCAACUCUACUCAGUCCUUCCUUUGCUUCUUUUCCCUCUUACUUCACAAAGCUUCUGGCUCACUUCCUGCCGUCACCAUCAAUCUUUCCUCUCUUUUCACUCUCGGCUCUUUUUCUUUCUUUUCCUUUUUGCUUGUGUUUCUAUCCCCCGUUGGUUCCCCUUAAAACCUCUGUUGCGGCUACCUUUCUUUUUGCUAUAUAUCAGACCCCCAAACCCUAAAAACCUCUAGUCCUUUUCCUGUAUUUGCAGCUUUGGGAGCCGUCCCAGAUUUCCUUUGCAAGCUGCGUAAAACGCAGCUUGCUGCCGCGUAUCAUUUUUUUUUUUUUUUUUUGAACUUAAUAACUUAAUAAAUACAGAAAUGAUAUAAAUAAUAAUAAUAAUAACAAAUUGCCAAAACCAGGUAAUAAUAAUAAUAAUAAUAAUGAAAAUAAUUUAAAAACUAAACAACUAAAAACAACAAAAAUGGCCACUUUUCCAUCUUUUUGUUUCAUUUUUCAUUUUUCAUCAUUUUCUUUUUCUCAAAAUAACUUAAUAAAAAUAACUAAAGUGCAAAAAGGUUGCAUUUAAAGAAAUAAAUAUAUUUUUGUGAACAAAUUUCCUUUUUCCCUUUUUUUUAUUUUCAUUUUCAUUUUUCUUUCAAGAAAGCAUUGAAUAAAAACAAAAUGACUAAAACAUAUUUUUUUGAAUGCUUUUCUUUUUCUCUUUUUUCUUUUUCAACAAAUUCUAUGAUAAAACUUAAAAAUAAAAAUAAAACUGGAAACUAAAAACUAAAAAUGAACACGACAAAUAAAAACUAAAAAAUGAAAUUACACCAAAAAUUUGGUGUCUACAUUUACAAUUCCUGCACGACAUUUACUUCAGCAAAAAGCUCAAAUUCCUACCUAAAUUUAACAUGCAGCUAGAGUUUAUCCAAUUAUACCAACUAAACAGUGAGUUGUUAUAAGAUCUUACCUCUUUCCCCCUAAAGUUCGAUGUUGCAGGGUGCUCAAGUUUCUGUUUCAGCUCCUCAAGUCCUAACACUCGAUUCUCCCGUUUUCCUUACCUUCGUUUGCUUGAUUGUGGUUAGCUGAUGAAGAAGCUAGCCAAAUUAUCCUUCCCUCACACUCUAUUCCACUCCCUCGGUUCUGUUUUGUAGAGAUUGAAAGAAAGAGAGAAAGGAAGAGCUGUCUAGUUUCUUUGCUCUCGGUCACCGCCCAACUAAUGAAUCAGUUUCUAUUUGCUCCACUCAGUCACCGCUUAAACUUAGCAGAUGAUUUCUCUUUGUUUUCUCUCGGGUCUUAUUGAUUAAGAAUGACAAGAUUGUUUCCAUUCGGUGGCU
rnacentral:lncRNA from 1 species